GUUGUUGCUAUGUUUACCCCAUGACCGUUAAUUCCUCCUGAAAAGAGAGAAAGAAGGAAAGAGAGAAUAUGAAAAAAGAAAUAACAGUGGGGCAAAGCUGCCAGGGGUCUGUAGUGUGGCCGUGGUCACUGCUCUCUCCUAACACAAAUGUGAAUACGAAGAGAGGAACUACAAGACCCGUUGCGCGACAUACACGUCUGGUUGGACUCUGGUGACUAUUGAGCUAAAUACACACCACACUUACACGAUAGGAAAGAUUUGAUUGAAUUUUGCAUUUGGAACUUGUUGACUUUGAAGCGAUCAAUAAGAAGACUGUUUAUUUUAGAUGCACAUAAUUUGCCCUGAGAAAUGUUUUAAGGAGGAGAGAGCACAGCUUUUUUUCCCCCGGAGCUGUUGGAGCGAAUGGGAUUGCCAGAUGGGCGAUUUCCCUCUGUGAUGUUAAAGCUGUAAUAUAUAUUCAGAGCAGAUUGGGCUGCUGCCUGUGAUGAGGAGGAUAUUACAUUUAUAAAUUUUAAAUCGGAGCUCGGACAAUGUGCUGAGAGCAGAAAUUGGAUGGUUUGACUGUUCACCGUAUUGAUACUUAAAUGUGAUUUCUAGGUAGUACUAAUAAUAAUCAUUGCAAUAAUUCAUGAAAAACAUACUGGCAUAGGCAAUUAUAUAAUUCAUGACAUUUAACAGCAGAUUUGAGUGUGUAAAUUGCCCCCCUCUUAAGUCUCUGCUUACUAUUAAAUAAUAGUCACAUAAUUCAUUUCCCUAUGUUUAAAUGUCCGAUGUGCAAAUGAUGUUAACUUAGGAGCCUUGUUAUCAUAUAUUAGAAUUCUAGGGGUGAAAGUUUACAUACAUAUAUAUAAAGUAGACACUUGUGUAUAUGUAUAAAGUGGCGUUACUGGCUCUUGUUUUCUAAUUCUUUACUCUGAUUAUUUUUAGAUUUUGUUUGUCUCAAAUGUGCGGCCUAAAGGAACCAGAGCUACAAACCUAAAAGACUAGAAAGUGGGCAAGUGCUCACACUCUGGCAGCUCUGCUGUUGCAAAUUAAAAGUGUGUUGUGGUCAGGAAAUGAAAGCUACAAUGUCUCUUUUGAACAAGUCGUUUAUCAAGAGAAACAUCUAUCAGGGACUGCCUUGUCACAUUGAUCCUCUAAAAGUUAGGUCCGAGGUGGAAGCUGCUUUGAUGUUUUUGAUCCUAAAUUUAAUACAACAGAAAAAAAGCAAGGAUAUUUUGACCAGUAUAGAUUUUUAAAAAUGUUUCCUGGAACCAACAAGAUCUAUUUAUUAGGAUUUCACUAUGUGUGAAGUUUUCUGGACGUAACAGUUGAAAGGUUGAAGGGGAAAUCCCAGACUUUAUAAAUUGAUGAUUGUUAGAAUAUACAUUUAUAAUAUAUUUAGUGAUGGCUGGCUUCUUGGUGCACAUGGAAUGGACGUUUUGAACACAGAUUGUUCAAAAGGAAAAUUAUUUUGAAAGAUUAUUUUGGAAGAAUAUGUAGAGAGUCAAGAGUUUUUCAUUCAAAUUUUAGUUAUCCUCUUCUGUUCUUCCUCUCUUUUACUCCUUCAUGCUUGUUUCUUAUCUUCAUUAUAUUUGUGACAAAUUAGCUUUUAUUUGGAAAAGAAACAUUAUUUCUACAAAAACCAUGUCCCAAAACAUGCUUGUACACAUCGUCUCUAUUGUUUAUUAAUUGUGCAUGUUUAUGGUUAUCAAUAUAAACUGCAUGGACACAUAAGUCCUUUGGAAUUUCAGCUUAAAAAUAGAGGUAUCAGAUUAAACAUGCUAUGUGUUCUUGAAUAAUGAAUAUGUUGUAUGCAUUAUUUAAAAUUGAAAAGGUAUUGUUAGGAAAAUGACCAAGUUGAAACAAAAUUGUGAAAGCAGUUAGAAGCAGCCUGCUUCAUUUUGGGAGGCAAAGAUAGGAAAGAAGUGUUUCUUCUUUAAAAUAGAGUUUUUGGAUACUUGUCUUACACUGCUGGAGGCAACUUGUUAUUUCAUGUGGGUCUAUCAUCAAAUAAGCAGGGAAGAGUAGGGUGGGAGUUUUGAGAAGUGUAAUACUUGCUAAUUAAUCAUGUCUGAAAUGAAAGAAUCAUAGCAGGGUAAUAAAGUCUCAUUGUUGUUUUCCUGGAAGAGGGUAAGACUUCUGUUUGGAAGCUGUAUGUGUGAGUUGAUUUGCUUUUCUCUUCUCCUAAAAACACAGUUUAUAGGGUCUCUUUGGAAUUAUUUCAAGAAACAUCUUUUUUUUUUUUCUGAAAAUAGAGUAUUUUUCUUUCUCCUGGCUGUAUUUCAUCAGUAAGAUUCUUAAAACAGUAUCUGAUAUCUUCUGAGUGAAAAUAGGGGGUUUUAUUCUUUAGUUAUAUUUAAGACUCCUGUAGCUGAGUUUCCAGGGCUGAUAUUUUUUUCCUUCCCAUAAAUAGAAAAUAUUUUUUGUUUUUGUUUUUAUUCAUGUUAGGCAGGAACUUUGAAAACCUUUUUGUAGGUAGUUACUUCUGAUAGAUAUACAAGAGUGCAGAAAUUUCAUUAAUUACUUUUAGAUGAUAAUAUAAGAGUGUAACCAGAGAGAAGAAAAUAGGUAGUAUUUCCAAGAAUCUAUAGAGACCAUCUGUAUUAUUACUUUGCAUUUCUAAGAUAGUUUAAGAUAUAAACCACCUGAAAAGAUAAAUGGGUAAUUUCAUUAUAGGUUAAUUAUUUUUUCCUGAGCUUCUGGUUGUCACCUUUUAGAAUUUAGUAUCUUACUCAGGACAUUCAUAGGGACAGAUCCACAAAGUUUGAGAGUCUGCACUGUUUUUCAGAAUGUUCAUGUCAAGGUGAAGACAGCCAUGCUAAUACUUCCCUGUUUUUGUCUGUGUGAGUGUUUGGAUGCCUUGAAUGAUUGCCUAAUUAAGUAAUCACUUUUAGUGGCCCAAAAUCAACAGAAUUACUAGAUGUAUUUGAAACAAUUGCAGGCUUUUAAGGUUUGAACUUUCUAGUUCUUAGAACCUUGGUUUAAUAGAAAUAGAAAGGUGCUAUUUUACCUUUGAUCAAUAUAUUCUUGAGUGCAGAUUUCACAUACUACUCUUUAUAAAGUACUGUGUUCAUUGUUGAAGAGCAAAUAAAUUUAAUUACCAGGAAUUUAAAUUGAUUUAUAAAUUUUUGAUUGGAAGAAACUAUUCUGCAGAUGUUUGUGUGAAAUAUUGACAUAUGCUACUGAUCGAUAGAACUUGAUUAAUCAGCAUAUCUGCUGUUUUUCUUGAGUCAUUGAUAAACUAGAAUAAACAAAUGGUUCAGAAAAAGCUAUAAAUUUUAACUCUCAAUAAAAAAUAAAUGUAUGUGUCUUUCUUUUGAGAUAUACAAGAGCUAGUGUUUUAUUGAAAUCAACUGAACUUAGAAAUUAUUUGGGGGUACCACUUAGAAGCUUACAAGUCCCAAAAUUCUGCCUUUCAAUUCACACACACACACACACACACACACACACACACAAACACGGAGCAAGAGAGAGAGAUUGUACCUAUAUUAUUGUUUAUUGAAAAUGAAAGAAUUUUUUUGACACACUGCAAAUAAAUGGCCAGUUUAGCAAGUGCUUUCCAUGGUUGGAUUUUGUCAUUUUCUUCUUUUUUUCCUAAACUUGAAUUUUUAGCAUUAACUUUUUCAUUUAACUUCUGGCAGAAAUUUUAAGCAUAGCUGCUUUGGUAUGAUUGCUGAUUACUAAUCUUUUUGAUAUUUUUGAUGUUAUCAUUUAAAUGGCAAUUUUCUUUCAGAAAUGUUUAUUUUAAAAAGUAAAAUAGCAGGAAUAAGGAGUAUGAAAGAAUAUACUCAAAAUAAAUGGUACAUUGAAGUUCGAAGCAAAUCAAAAGCAAGGGGUAUGCUAAGUUUCCUUAGGGCAGCACCACAGGUGCCUGCUCAGAAGCGCUGCCUCAAUACAGCACAUCCGUAAGUACCUGUUGACAACAGUAGUCUUAGCUAAGAUACUGAGGAGGCAGAAAAGAUAGGUGAUCAGAAACCAUCAAAACAUGAGAUAUCAUAUGGCACUUUCUGUUAAUAAUAUUUACAUAUUUUAUGCAACAAAUCUGCUUGUUGUCUUGUUAUUUGAAUAUUGACACUUUGCUUAACAUUGCAUAUGGUGGGCUGUUGUUUCAGGGUGUAUCAGAAGCAGUAAAUCCAAAGGAGAAUUUCAAUUUAGAUGUAUUUAUGUUAAAUAUAUGUAUAAAUGGAUAUGUUUGCUCAUAUUUUAGCUCUCAUGACUUUCACAAAGCAUUUAUAGUAUCACUGCUUCCAAUCAUUUUUGAAACUGUUACAUCUUGAAAGUAGAAUGCAUGAUUUAUUAUAUGAAGGCCCAAGGUUAAACGUUUUUUACCCUAUAGCUCAGCUUAAGUAUUGGUAUUUUUGUGUUGGGAAAUGUUUUUUAGAAAGUAUGUUUUAUAAUUUUGGAAAAUUUGCUUCUUACUAGGUUUCUGUUCUCAUUUUCAUAGGAAGAGGAGCUUUUAACCAAACAGUUAUUAAGGAUAUAUAAUAUACAGUAAAGUUUUUUAUACUAUAGAAUAUGAAAUGUAAAAUACCUAUAAAAUGUUUUCUUUUACCCCAUUUCAUUAUGUUGAAAAUACCUUUACUCUCUUUCUUUGCUAUGUUUUAAUUUCUGCUGGUAUUUUACAUACUUAUUCCAUUUUGCUUAUGGAUAUAUUCCUGGCAUGAGAACAGAAACUGCAUUUAACUCCCUUUAGCUAUAUAUAUAUUUCAUAUAUAUUUCAUAUGUGUAUGUAGAUAUAUGAAAUAUAUAUGUGUGUAUGUAUAUACCUAUUUUGUUUUUCCCAAUUCAACUGUUUGCCUUAUGUCAACUGGAUGCUUUUUAAACAACUGAUAAUUAAAUGUCAACUAUUUAUGAGAGUAAACUCAUCUGAGAAUGGGUAAACUCUACUUUCAUGCAUUAGUUCAUGAUGAAAUAUUAUUCUUGGAAAUAGUAACAUCUCAGAUAAAAUUUUAAAGGUAGUGCAAUGUGAAGCCGUGGGUUUCUGUAUGUCGUUCUAAACUUUUUGCUUAUCUUUUGACUUACUAUCCUCACCAUUAAGAGACAUUUUUACCUUCACCUAGGACCAGCUACAUAAUUUCUGAGACCCAGCGCAAAAUUAAAAUGUGAGGCAUCUUGUUCAAAAAUUAAUUUGAAGACAGCAACACACAGCAUUAAACAAAAUGCAGGGCCCUGUAUUGUGUGGUGGGGUGGGGGCCUGUGUGCCUGAACAAAUGAUGGGGCAAUGAAGCCAGCCCUGCCUUCACCACCUACAGACUUUUAUCUGGGGCCACCUUUGUAGAAGUCACUAGGUUUCCUAUUGGAGACUGACUAUUCCACAAUGAUUCCAUCUGCCUCUGCCGAAAAAGAUACUAAUGAGAGUUGAGUAAGAAAACUGAUGGGAAAUGAACCAUUAAGUAUCUCCUGCUCUUUCUAUAUCUGAACUGGGGAUUGAAAUAUUUGCUUUUGUCUCAUCUUGCCCUGUGUCUCAUAUAUCUCCUAUAUAUCAUGUGACUUUUUGCUCAAGUAUUCUUAAAAGGAACUUUGUGUGUGUGUGUGUGUGUGUGUGUGUGUGUGUGUGUGUGUUUAAUGGUUUGCAUGCAGUUACAUACUUCAAUACUUAUCCCAGGCCCAGAAUAAUUGUAGUAGUAAGAGCUUAGGAGGUUCUCUGUUGCCAAGUACUGCCACUAUCCCUCCUCGGUUAAGGCACAAGAAAAAUGAGUAUUUUUAUGUAGAAAUCCUACAUUAUCUGAUACAAAAUGCUGACCAUUAAAAAAACGAAAGUAUGCUCAUUGAGUGACAGGAAGGGGGGGGCAGACCCCCAAAUAACCUUGUUAUAAUAGUGUCAGUAUUGAUACGUGGACAUUAGAAAGUGGUAUUUUAGCUAUAUAAACAUGUGACAGCUGUGUUAAAGAGGAAAAGUAACCAUUUCAUGCGGUAACACUAAUGUUGCAGUAUGCUGUAUUCAAAUCCUGGACUUAGCUUCUCAAUUUGUAUUGCAAUAACCUCCCUCUCCCUGAAAAUUAGAGUCAUAUGACUCCUUUACCAACGUUCUGUGCUGAUAGGUGGACAAAACAUUUACAUCGUUGCUUCCCAAAGUACUUCUCAAUGAGAUCAAACUUCAUAUUGCGAUACCUAAAACUGAAUUUUGAAGUCAAGUGGCUUUUUCAAAUCAAAACUGAGAUAUGAUGGAAUGUCCAGCAAGUAUGGAUCUGAGUGCACUUGAAGUUGCACCAUUUAUUUUCAAAAGAUAUUUCUCACAUCAGAUGACUCUGCCAGGAAGGGAAAUAUCAAAGAGCUUGGAAAAAGUAACUAUUCUUUUAUGUAAUCCAAGACUGGGGUGAAAGUGGGGGGCUUUAAAGAUAUUUUUGAGGAAGAAAAAAAUUGAACUUAUUUUGAAUGCCUUGUUAGACUUUGUCGGGAGAAAUGCUACAUAUGAGACUUUCUAAGAAGAAAAAUCUUUGCCCUGUGUAAUAACAAGGCAUUGCUCUCCACACUGAUAGGCACUUUAAUGAAAGAAAGCUGGGAAAUAACUAUUAUAACAGUGUCCCAUUUAAGUAAAAAUUUACCCCACAGUUUAGGAAUAUUUUUUUUUUUUUUAACUAAGCCAUUGCAAACUUGAAAUAUUUUAGUAGGUAGUUAGCCACAAUUCACAUUUUCUAAUGUUCUGUGUUCUAUCUCCAUAUUCUGUAGUAUAAUUUCAACGGGGACUCAUCUUUUCCUGCUUUACUCCUAUACUUGGAAUCUUGUAUUUUCAUAUUAAAUGUUUUGCUUUAAAAAUGAUUAAACUAGGAAUCUGGGUAAAUAAGUGGCAAUAUAGUAUAUUGUUGUGCCAAAAAGAGCUUUUUUAUUUUUCAUCUGUUCAUUUCUUUUCCCUUUCAAUUUCAAAUUGAAGAUUGUAAACUCUUUCUUUUAAAUAAUAUACCUCAAUGAUGCUAAAUUAUAAAUCUUAAUUCGGUAUGAUUCAGUGAUUUUAAUCUUACAAGAUAAUUAUUCUGAGUAGGAUAAAAAAGGUUCCCUUAAGAUUGAAGGCAUUUUCAUUACAAUCCCCAUUUUCAGAUCAAACAAAUACUAUGAAAUAAACAGUACUAUUAUUCUUUUAUGCUUAAUAGUUUGUACUUUUCAAUUAAAGUAUAUGGAUGAAGAAAUAAGGCUAUAGAUAAUGGCAGUCUCAUUGUUUGCAAACUAAGUGCUUUUGAUAAAUUUUACUGCUAGGAAUUACAUGGAUCUAAGGGAAUCUUUUAGAUAAAAAUUACAGUUUUGAUUAUCUAAAUGGAAUAUGUUCUUGUGCAUGUGCAUAGAUAUAUUUCUUUGUGAAGGUAUUGAUGUCAGGGACACUUUUGGUAUUCCUUUAUGAGUAUUUAGGUUAACGGGGUUAGUUAGAAAAUGUAUCCUUUCCUGGAAAAUGAAAAAUUACAUUCAAGCAGAGGUAAAAGAGUAGAACAUAUUCAUGACUUUAAGUACUUAAAAAGAUAUUUUAUGAGUCAUUUUUGAAGAAUAAUUCCCAAUAUGUAACUUGUUAAGAAUAAUCACCAUUUUUACUUUCUAAAGCACAUCUAUAUUAAAACUGACUUUCUGUUCAUGACUCGCAAAUCUGGAGUCAAUUUUAGGCCCAACUUACAAAAGAUGUGGGUCUUAUCCCCCCUGCCCUUAUCGUGGUAUCCUAUGCCAGUAGAGUCAGUACAAAGUUCUCUUUUAAAGAGAGAUUUUCAUUUGCAUUAUUCAGAAGAUUAAGCAACGUUUUUGGGAGGGAAAUACUGAUAGGACCCAAAUGUAGACAUUGGGACCCUGAAUGGCCUGUAUCCUUGUCUGACAAACUGGAAGGAAAAAAUAUUACCAGCUUUGGAAUUUUACAUGCCUAUAUGAACAGUGCUUUUUCUUUCUGUGGGAAGAUUUUAAACAUACUAUGAAUACAAUAAGUGUUACCUAAUUGGAAAAAUAUGUUUCCUAUAAUUCUAAGAGUACUAAUCAACCAAUCAUCGAUAUCAAUUUACUCAUGGAUGGUAAGAUAGUAGAAUUUUAUUCAGAAAUGAAUGUCCAGUUGGAGCUGGUAUCUCUUUAGAAAGUGAAAAAAAUUACACAUAAGCAAAAUUCUUUUGGUAAUUUUUUAAAAACAUGGGUGUGAAAUCUCCAUCAAUAAAAUUUUUGGCAGUUAAAGUAUUACAAAAAAAAUUGAAAGCUCUUUAUUAUGUUUUGUUCUUUAAUAAGCCUCUAAAUGAGCAUAUACAGUGCAAUAAUGCCUUUUUUGUUUACUUUUUUAAUUUUUGUCUUGUUUUAUUUUGUUUUAGCAUAAAGUAAAAAGAACUUAUAGGUAAACUAUUUUGUACUAUUUAUUUUUAAAGAUAUCUAGUAAGGACAGUACAACAUAUAAUAUAGGUUUGUUCAUAAUCAUGGGUAAAAAAUCUACAAUUUUACCACCAUGUAAUGGUAGUUCCUUGAAAUUUUACCCUACUACAGCAAAAUGCCACAGUCACUAAGAUGGGAGGUGUUGCUGAUAUAUGAUUGGAAUGCACAUGUAUACUUAAAUACAUAAUUUUUAAAAAAAUUGUCUUUAUUUUCUAACAGCUUGUUGGUGUCCUUUGCUUAGGGCUAAGGGGAAAAUGUUUUCUGCUAUUUUGCUAUUGGCAUACUCACCAAGAACCUUGCUGUCUAAGCCAUCUUCCUACCUACCUAGCUGUGUACCGUUUUGAAGAGCUGUUUUUUUCUUUUCUUUUCUUUCUUUUUAAAAAAUUUUUGAUAUUUGUCUGCAAGACUGGUUAUUACUUGAUCAUCUGGAAAAUCAAAUUUCAUUUCAGCCACUGGAAUAUGAUACUUAGAUCAUGAGAAGUAGUUUGAAUUAAUUAAGAGGAUAAUAUUAGGGUUUAUAUUAGGGAAGAGUAAAGCAGCAUUUGUUGUCAUGGACAACAUGUAGGAAUAGGGGAAGGAGGCACAAGUUCGAGAAAGUCAUUGAGGCAAAGCUAACAUUAAAGACUGUUUUCAUGUGGUUGUUACACAGAAUGAUAUUGGCAAUUUUGUAAAUUAAACCCUAAUAUUAAUUAUGUAAAAAAAACCUUAUCAGUUAUUAAGAAUCAUUGACUAAUAAUCAGUAAAUAGCAUGUAGCACUAUUUUAACAAAUUAUAUUCUCCGUAUCUUUUCGUCCCCAUAAUUUUAAAAAGUGUGAAAACAUAUAUAUAUGCCUUUAAAGAUGGUUCAACUUAUUCUCAGACUCUUUUAUUCUCUCUUAACAUACUCAAGUUUUUAGGCCACAAAUGAAGUGACAGAAUAAAAUCCAUUGAAGAUGGAGGUAUAUGUCCUUUAAGGCUUCUUUUGGAAACUAAUGUGUUUACUGCCAUUAUGGAAGUUGAAAUCAUUGAAUACUUUGAAUUGGUUUUAGAAAAAUUUGAUGUUAAAUUUUGUAUCAACUCAGUAAAUGCUUGCUAUAACUUCCUGACCAAACUAAAGCCCCAAACAAGCAAAAUAAAUAAAUAAAUAAUAAAAAAACUUUUGCCUAAGCCCUACACCAGAUCAGUUAGAUGAGAUUUUAAACUCCUCAGAUGAUUCUAAUGUAAACCAAACAUUUAUAUAUAUCAAGAGAUCUUAAAAUUUUUACCUUUUAAAAAAAUGUCAUUCUUCCUGGUUUGAAGUUAGAAAAAUGAAGAUAUCUAUUCAGAACUGAAUAUACUAAUGACAUGUACAGAUAGCUCAUCAUCCGGCUGAAGUUCAACAACCUAUCUAGACUUUUGAAAACAUUUCUGUCAGUCUUGCAAGAACAUCUCAGGAAAGUAACGAUGAUGAAGGACAGUGUCAGCAGAAGCCCACAGUCGAAGAUCAUUUUGUUACCUUGGGUAAGCCAUUCAACCUCACUGAGCCUUAGUUUUUAGUUUACUUUUUUAUAAAAGAAGAGAUGAUUGAGGUGAUCCGAUGAUGACUAAGAUUUCUUGCAGUUUUGUAUACUCCAUGACUGCUUUGUCAUGGACCAGUGAACUCAAGUAACUUGGACCUUGCUAGUCGUCUAAAAGAUGCAAAAUAUUUUUGUUUCUCUUAAGAAAGCUCCAAAAAUUAUCUUGGAAACAAUGUAGAAAGCUCAAGGACCAUUUAUUACUUUGUUAAGCCCAUCAGAAGAGAUGAUAAGCAUUCAUUAAAUAUGCUUACUAAUUGGUUGCAUGCAAAAGUGUCAGCAAUUCUAAUAUCUUAAGAGUUGAUGGGUAUUAGUUAGCUAAUGCUUUUCUCUUGUAAGAGAUUUCAAUAGAGUGGCAAUCAGAUUAACUUAAGCAGUGGAGUUAGAAACCUCAAAUCCUUAAAAUAUUUAGUAUGAAAGGUGGACUUUUAUCAAACUGAAAGCAAUACUUUUUUCCUGUACUUUAUCAGCAACUAGUCUUUGUCCACCUUCUUUUUGCUUCCUGGCAUGUUCUUCUUCGCUUGUUGAAAUCCUACUAGGACUUUGGUAUCCAGGUCAGUUGUUGCAUCAUCCAUGAAGCCUUCUUUGAGGCACCCUAAUUAGGAUUGAUUUCGACGUCUACUUAAUUGUCCCUUAGAACAUUUGAAAUGUCUCCUUUAGAUCACUUACCAUCAUCUUUCUCCUACUAUAGAUUGCUAGGCAUUUGUGUUUCUCUAUUAUGAAGCUGUAAAUUGCUUGAGAGCACACACAUCUAAUUCAUUUUUAUUUUUUAUCUCCUCAACAUGUGUGUAUAGCAUAAGACCUAUAAUAGGAAUUCAAUAAAUGUUUGGUGAAUUGAAUUGAUAAAAGCAUAGGAAACUAUCACUUGGUUAAUAUUUUAUUUUAUUUUAUUAUUUUAUUAUUAUUAUUAUUUUUGAGACGGAGUCUUGCUCUGUCACCCAGGCUGGAGUGUAGUGGCGCGAUCUCGGCUCACUGCAAGCUCCACCUCCCGGGUUCACGCCAUUCUCCUGCCUCAGCCUCCCCAGCAGCUGGGACUACAGGCGUCUGCCACCACCACGCUCGGCUAAUUUUUUUGUAUUUUUUAGGAGAGACAGGGUUUCACCGUGUUAGCCGGGAUGGUCUCGAUCUCCUGACCUCAUGAUCCGCCCGCCUCUGCCUCUCAAUGUGCUGGGAUUACAGGCGUGAGCCACCAUGCCCGGCCAGUUAAUAUUUUAUUAAUCUUAUUUUAAAAAAUUAAAAGAUGAUUUUUAAAUAUUUAAAGAAUGGAUCUAUGAAAAUUGUAUAUUUCAUUAAAAAAUUGAAAUUUCUAUAUUCUUUAUAUAAUGUUAUUACCAAAGAAAGACUUUAUAACCCUGAAAAAUAGUUUUAUAAUUAUAUACUUAAAAAGGAGCUUACAGUCAUUAAUUCUAUUUUUGUAUCUCUAGAUAGGAGAGCCUUUAAACUCUUUUAUAAAAAACAUUAUGCUAUCUUUAAAAUCUUAUAAAACAUAAAUCUAUAGACUACUUUGAUUAUAGGUGUAACAAAUAGCUUUAAAUCACUAUUCUCCAUGAAAUAUUUUUUUCUCAUGUGUUUGCAGACAGAAAAAUUUGAGGGUACAGAAAUCAUAAAAUAUUAGACUCUGAGACUUCCAGAUUGACUUCUUACCAAUAUAGAGUUGAUUGACAGUUGGUCAUUCUGCCUUUGGUUGAACGUGGGAAAUAAGUACCUCCUAAGGCAUUUCUUUCUAUUUUGUCCUUUCUCUGAUAAAUAGGCAGUUUGCAAAUAUGUGCACUAUCAGUAUUCAAGACAGAUUUCCUUGGAAACAUGAUGAUACUGGGGUGGUAAAAUGUGAGAUGCAAACUAGUUGAUCUACAGUUGAUACGAUAACUUAAUUCGUGAAUGUCUUUGGUUAAUAUUUUAAUUGGGACCUUUAUCUAACUAAAUAGUGUCUAUUAAUUUAUUUUGUACUGAAUACUGGGCAGUAAACAAUUUAGCUGGGAUUUCACCCAAUAGCUCUUUUAGGUGUUCAAUAGCUUUACCAGUUGGGUUUGUGUGCUCGUGGAAGGGUCAGCUACUUUCUCAAAUCUGCCGUGAAUGUUACAAUAAAUAGCAUUACAGUAUUUCUAAGGCAAAUUCAAUUUGAUCAAAUGUUAAAUUAUAAUGAGUUAGGCAACAGUAUUUGACAAGAUUUAUAUUUCAUAUUUGUGUUUUUAAACCUAAAGAUGUACCAGAGAAAAGCAUUUGCUCACAUUAUUUCGUUAAAUAACCCAGAAAAAAACAAAGACUCUAUUGUCAUUCUUUUAAAAACACAAUUUUACUAAGAAAACCUAUAACCUUUACUGAAAGCUCACUCGUUUUCUUCCAAUUUGGGCUCUUGAGAGCUGAAAAGUUCUAGAUGCUAUCUUACCACUUCAUAUUGAAAUCUAGGUUGAUGUCAUACACUCUACGCAGAAGAAAGUAUCUGUAGUGCUGAUUGUUGAACCUGAAUCAUUACAAAGAUGUGCCAUUUAGUGAGCUAUAAUGGACAAAUGUUGCUUAGUUAAUUGUAUAAAAACACUGCAUCUUCAGCAAAGAGCUCUAAUAGUAAAGGACAGUACAUUGAAGGUAGAAUAAUAAAGAUUGUGAAACAAUAUGUUAAAAGUAGCAAAAGCAUUUUUGCAGUGUGACUUCAACAGUGAAGACCCGUGUGUUUAGUUCCUUUGUUAAAUAGACACUUCUGGUUUUCUAGAAACCAUUCAAUGUGCUUCAAGUGAGUUAAAAUUGUUAAAAUAUAGAUUAAAAGCCAUCAGAUUGAGAGUAAAGGCCACAAAUUGUAAAACCUUAUAGUGGUAGCUUGCCAACAACCAACUUAAAUCCAGGGAAUAUUUAAAAGAGGCUUAAAAUUCUACUUGGUUUAUAAUCAGGAAGCUGUGGGGUUUUAAAUUAAUAAAAAUAUUCAUGAGAAUUAUUUACAUGUAAAAUGCACCCAUUUUCCUUUACCCUUCUGGUAGAAGAAAAUUGGGUGAUCCUUCUCAAAAGGGUAAUCAUGUAAGUUGGUGGCCACAAAGUAUGAACCAUGGUUAAAAGUCAGUGGUUAAUGGUUUAUUUUGUUGUCUGCCUUCUUUUACUGCUUCCUCCUUCCUUCCCUUUCUUUUUAUUUACUUAUUUAUUUAUUUUGACCCUAUAUGCAUAGUUGACAGCUGUCAGUAAUAGAAUUUUUGGCUAGAUCUAGACACAGCAAUUCUUGAAAAAUAUGAAACUAUAUUUGUCCUUUUGGCCUAUGAUCUGAAUUAAAAGAUAAAAUUAUUUCAGGCCAAUACAACUACAUAGGUACAUGCAUGCGUGCACACGUGUGUGUGUGUGUGUUUAUUUAGUAGAGCAACCUGUCUUUGCAACAAAUGACAGUGUUGAAAGCUCUUUCAUUCUGAAUGGACCAGUUAGUAGCUCCAUACAGACACCAUCUAAGUGAACCUAUUUAAAUACCUUUCCAGAUUCUUAACUAAGUGGUGCAAGUCUGUCUUGGAGGUGGCACUUAUUUGUCCCUUAGGGGUUAAGUUUGGUUUGAUAUUCAGUUGAAGUGUCAGUAAAUAAGAUUUAUGAGAAAUUAAUUAAAACUAAAAUUGAAAAUGGAUGAGGUACAAGUUUACCCUAAAAUGGCUUGAAUAUAUUUGUCCCAAAUGCAUGAAAAGAAUGUUUUCUAAUGGACUCUUUUGAUUAGAAUAGAAACUAAUCACAAAUAAACCAUUUAAAAUUUGCUAUCAUGAUACAAUUGUUUUCAUUCAGUGGUCGGCCAUGCCUUCUUUUAGCCUUGUCUUUGUCCAGGGUUUAGUUUAGUCAUGCAUAUGUCCUUGAAGAAAUGUAGCAUCUUUCACAAGAUUUUGUACAAGUGAAAUCAGAUACCAAUUUUUAUUGCAGAACCAAGCCUACAAAUGUUUCUCUUUAAAGACAUUUUUAAUAGAAACAGUAAGGUAUAAAUCAUUUAAGCAAUUACCUGGACAUUGUGGAAACGGGGCUUGGCUUAUUCUGUAGCCCCAGAUGUUUCCAGAUUCCAGUAAUAACCCGGUCCAGAUAUUUACAGCUUAAUUUUCUGUGCAUGUGCAUUUGUCCACAAAUGGCUCCUAUUUCCCAUUUUCUGUUGGACAACUGGGCUACUUAGAGGUUUAAAAAAAAUGAUUUCAGCUUGGGUGAUGACAAACAUUAAUGGUGAUAAUAAGUUGCUUCUAGAAACUUUGAUCACUUAAAAACAUAUAGAGGCUAAAUUUUAGAGGAUUUUAUACUAAAAAAUAAAUUGUUCAAAUGGCAUUUUGCUUUAUGGAUGAGACUGGGAUGAAUAACUUCCCCCAUCCCUCAAAAUUUUAGUCUUGAUAUGCUACGUGAUCAAAGUGAUUCUUCGUUUUUCUUUAAAAAAUGCAUAUUCUGGCACUGGUUGGGUUAUCAUGCAGGCUGCUAGUUUUUCUUUGCAUCACUACCCCACAGGUUUUCUUCUUCUUACUAGAAACUAAACAAAUGGAAAAUAAUGAUUGGUAACCAUCUGCUGUGCAGAAAUUUUACAUAUAGCAGUUAACUCUAUUUUAGAAAACAAGACCAAAUGAGUGCAUUAUACUGUUGCCAGUAAAUAGCAACAAGCACUAGAGCGUUCCUUUGGACAACGCAGGCACACAGGGAGCCAACAUUUUGUUAUGGGAAGUCAGUUGGUUGGGCUGUGGGGCUGAGUGUGCCCAGACAUUUACUUGUGUGUUUGUGUCUGUGUGCCUAUGUCUGUGUAUGUAUUGCUUAUGUGAAGAAAGUGAUUGCUUCCUCUCUGCCUUCUCCUUGUGUCUCCCUUCUUACCGCCAUAAUUCCAGUCACGUAAAUCAAAGUAAUGUAGAUGUAAAUAAAUCAAUUCAAUCACAUCAUCCUAAAUCUUUUUAUUCACUUAAGAAAUAAACUUAAAAUCCAUAAAGUCAGACAGAAUAAAGAUUUGUAAAAGUAUGUAGGCUUCAGAUCGGAAUCGUGGUUUUCUUCAUUGUACAUAUUACAAUGACUAGUGGCUAGCCAAUGCAUCUUUAGAUUAUUCUCUUGUCGUAUCUUCUGCCUAAAAAACACCUUAACAGGAAAUUAGAUUGAGUAUAUGUACAAAAGAUAUUGACAGGCAAUGAUUAUUCAUAUAGCUGCUGUUGAAGUAUGGAUGUUGUAUUGAGGGUAGACCUAUAAUGAAAUAGACAGAAGUAAGCUGUUACAAAGAAUUUAUUCAAAUGGACCAGGUAAGGCCUGAUUUUAUAGUUAUCCAUAUAAUCUGUAAUAUGUCUCUCUCUCUCUCUCUCUCUCACUCUCUCUGUCUUAUAUAUAUAUAAUCUGUUUAUUAUAUCAAUAUACUUAGGCACUCGAAACAUACAAUCUCUCUCUUGCUUUCUAACUUUCACUUAUUUGAUAUGGGGAUUUUGCCAUACAGCAAGAAAAGUUGUUUAAAAUGGGCAGUAUAUUGAGUUCAAAGGACCCAUACAGUUCAUAAAUUCUCUGGUGUCUACUGGAUUUUUCAUCAGGGAGACUUCCAAUAAAAAUGAUCUAUUUUAGAAAUAAUAUUGUUUAGUAGGUUGAAAUGUGGUGUAAUAAAAUUAGACCUUCAGUCUUCUAAAGUUACUACUUAGAUGGCACCCUUGGGAUGGUAAAAUGGCUGUAUAAGCAGAUGAAUCAGACAGUUCCACUGAUGGGUACAUUUGUCAGUCUCUGUUACAGAUAUAAUAUAUUCUUAUAUCUGUAAUCCUGACACUGUUACAUCCAAAUGAAAUCAACAUGAGGUUGUCAUCUUUAAGCAAAUAUGUUAAGUGUUGUCUUUUGUGCUUUGGAUUUGAAAGAAAGGGGCCCAGGGGAGGCAGCAUCAUGCAAAUGGAACAAAUCCCAUUUCUUCUGAGCUGUGCUGUUUUUCCCCUCCAUGGCAGCUGGCUGUGUUAUCUUUGUGUGUUUCUCUGAGUGCUGACAAUUCUUUCAGUGAUCUAAGUUAGGGCACAUUAGAAAGUGGAAGCAGCUGUCUGUCGCUAUACUGAGAGACGUGUUUGCUCUACUGCAAAGAUGAAGGACCAUGAAUCCUUGACACACUCUCCCCCCUCCCCCCUGUACUUUCCAACAUGAUCAACAUUCAGAUGCACAGAUUGUCUGCUUGGACAGUUUUUUGUUCUGACUGACAGCAUCUGGCAUAGACAAAUUUAAAAAUACAUAGCAUGCCAUGCUUGGAAUUGGAACAUCCCUUUUUUAUUAAUCUUCUCAUUUAAACCAUUCAUUUACAUUUCAAGAAAGGUUACAGCUUGAUAUGGUUGAAACGUUGAUUUUUAAAUGAAUAACCUUCUAAUGAAAUGUCUUGAAUAAGUACCAAGCAGCCAGUGUUCAUUAAAAAUUACACCCGAUUAACACGGCCUUGAAAGCCUGAGAGGAAAGGGAUUUCUUAUUGUUUUAAUCCACAAUGCAAUCCAGUGUUUACCUUUCUGGCACAAAGCGAAUAGAAAUGAUGCCUGUACUUGCAACACUUCUGAUAUUGAACACAACUAUGAUAUCACCCUUAAGCCGACAAAAAACACUUGGUCUUGUUUAAUCAGCUUUUUUUCCCUCUGAAAGCCCUCAGAGGUGUUAAAUUUUUUUAAAAAAAUUACCAAAAUACACCUCUCUCAAAUGUCCCACCCCUCCAUCACCCCAAAAUACUAUGACUCUAUGCCCACAUCAGAAAAAGAAAAAGCUUAUAUGUUUUCAAGUGGAAGAGUAGUAGAAAACGCUUUUAGGUUAAAUGCUUCCCCUGACCCUAGGAUGGUGGAUAUACAUUUAUUUGUUUGCAUUACUUUGGUAAUAAAACAUAACAGUGCAAAAAUUGCUCUCUUUCUCUGCCCCACUCACCCCCACACACAUUCACAUUUCUUAACCAUUCUCAAUUCCGUAGUUAACCUUAGCAACAUGCCUAGCAUUCUUGUAAAAAUAAUAUGAAAAUUGGCCAUAUCAGUCAGUCUUUGGACUUUGAGUCCAGGGGCGGAGGUAGAAAUAAGGGUAGGAGAAUCCUCUUUUUAUCAUGCAUUUUAGACUUUUCAUAUCACUGCAGACUUCAGCUGUUAACUACUCACUCCAAGGGUAGCUACAUUAUUACAUAGUUCUAAGGGGUGUUUGGAGAAGGCAAGUGGUGCAAAAUUGUAAUAAAAAAUAUAUUCAAGUGCUGGGUAGUAAAUAUGUAAAGCAAUGUACUGGAUAACUUGGAAAAACAGGCUUCAGAGGGAAGUUCAAUUAACAGUUGUAAGCAGAAGAGGUGCUGUAUUUCUUCAGCAUGUGUAAGAGGUCACUUGCUUUAGGAUAAAUUUUGACGAAUUCCAGAGAGAAAUAAAUGCUGAAAUAAAAAUGAAAACAGAUUAUAGUUUUAUAUCAAAGGCACUUUUAAUUUUUGAAUAUGAUAGGGGAAAAUGACAAGAUUUUAUUCCAUGGAUUAUAUAUGAUUACUUUUUAUAUAUUUUACUAUGUUUAAAUUAUACACUUAUUUUACUUUAAACUGUUAUUCAAACAAAAGAAAUCUUAGAAAUGAACAUUAUCUUUGAAUCUGGAACCAGUUUAUCCACUCACCCUUCAACCCAGAUGCUGGCUCUAUAAAUUUAAGGUAGACAUAAUUUGGUUGCUGUUUUUCUUUUCUUUUUUUCCUAAAAGCUAAUGGUAGGGAAUCCAACUGGAGUGGAUCUAUUUCCAGUGUUUUGAUUGCUAGUAAAUGUUUUAUAAUCAACAUUUUAAAUAUAAAUUACAUCCUUUGUUAUUUUCCAUUUUGAUUUUUUUUAACGACCAGUUUUUAAAGGUAGUGCCAAUGUGCAUAUGUAAGCAAACUGGGAAUGGGUUAAAGUACACAAUUCCCUUGUGUAAAAAGCCAGGUUUAGCAGUAAUGCUUUUAAUCUGGACUUGUGGAAGAUUCAGAAGCAUCCAUAGAUCUGCUCCAGUAAUUACCAUACCCCAAGUGGCACUGGAAGAGACAUUUGCCUAAAAACUUGAUGUCUUCAUUACGCUGUUUACAUUUUAAUUAGAAACAUGAAAAUUACUGAUUCAUACAGACAACUAUAGUUUAAGUGGUUUCGUUCACCAUCCAAUAAAUCAUAAAAAAGCCCCACAGUUGGCAUAAAUAGUUUACUAGGAAUCAUUCAUGGGAAUAAUGUGUUGGCACUAUAAGCUGCUUAAAAUAUGUUUUUAUUUUACCAGAGGUAGAAUUUGCAUAUAAAUUAGAGAAUGGCAUUUUAAGUUGACAGUCAUUUAUGCAGAAUACCACCCACAUGCAAAUACAUAUAUGGGCGUAUGUGUAUACUUUCUUUGAGUUUAUAGGUUUUUGCAGUGUUGUGGAUAUAGAUUCAUACCCAGCCUUAGCCUAUCAGUUUUUAAAAUGAGUGUCCUCUUUUAAAGUCCUUUCAGAAAUGCUGUGGGUGUUCUAAUGCAUAUCCACAACCAUAUCUUUUAUUUGUUGGGCAGUAUCAACUUGUAUAAAAGGAAAAUGUUUAUUUCUUGUAUGUGUAUGUCUGGAAAAGGAGUUGCUGUUUCAUUUGCUCAUUCAUUCCCUCUUUCCUCUGUCUUCCAUUCAUUCUCCCCUAACUUUUGCAUGUACCUGUCAAUGCUGCUGCCCUGAAACCGCUCCCACUCAGAGCGGCUGGAGUGAAGCAGGGUGGCUGUCAGAGUCCAUUCCUGAGUCAGCAGCAUGUCCAUUGCCUGAAUCUUGCGACAGUCACUCAUCUAGUUUUUCCUUCCCCAGGGGACAGGCGUCCUCCUCAUCAGCAAGGAGGAAUGACCCUUCUGGCUGGCAUGCUCAAAAUCCCGAAUCUCCCCACAUUGGUGUGUGAGUUCAAAUCCCCCCUCCUGGAGGCAGGGCUGGGACUCUAGCUAAUGACUCCAAGAUACAGAGGGUCAGCGCACUGGUGAGCUCGAGUACUGAGGCAUUGUGUGAGCCGAGUUGUACAUUUUUCCCAUAACUGCAGACUCCUCUCCUUCUCCUCUCCCCUCCCCAAAUCCUUUAUGGUAGAUCAACAUGAUGCACAAAUGAACCAGGCAUAGCCACAGACAGUAUAAGCUAUUUUCCUUUUCUUUAUCUUUAUUAGAAAGUUACUGGUCAUGGAUGAAGGAGGGUGUGUUAUUUUUUGUUUGUUUAUUGUUGUUUGGUUGAAAGGAAGCACACAAUGAAUGGACAUUCGCAUUAUGUGAGUGUUAAAUUCACAUUUUAGGCCCAUCGGCUAUAAAUAAAAAUGAAUUUGAAAAAUAUUACAUAGGAGAAAGAGUGUAUGCAUAAAUGUUUAAUUUGGAAUGCUAUAGUGGUCAUUGUUUUAAACUUUUGAAUGUGAAUGUAUUAGGUUGAAACUCAUGCUAACUGCCUGACAUGAUUUCUGGGAAUUAAUGGGUAUAAGAUUAAUUUUCAAGAAGCUGCUUUAGGUGAGAUAAAUUUUGAGCUUCACUUCUACAUCUUUUGGUUUGCUUUUUGUAAGUUCUAGAGGAUUGCCAAAGUUGGAAGAUGCUAAUCAGUUAUUUUUAGUGGCUCACAAUAUUUUAGAUUUUAAUGGAAAGUAGCUAGGAUCAGUUUCUUGGUAAUCCAGGUAAUUGGUCUAGGUAAUCAGACCAGGAGUUUUAAAAACAGUAAUUAGUACUUUGCAUUUACGAGGCAGAAUUCCUGAACAGGUUAGUUAGGGUAAUAGUGGAAUUCAUGGACAUAUGCUCAUUGGUUUGCUUUGCAUUGCCUCUUUUUUGGGGGGAGGUGACGCAGGACACUUACUAGGUUUCUGUGCUUCCUAGAUGUGAUUAGACACAAUAGUCAACAUCUGUAAGGACAGAAACAUGCUGCUUACUUGUACACAUGGCAAAAUUCUAAUAGUUCUGUGCAGUCUGGUAAAUCCUGUCUGCUUUAUGCAGUGUGGCCCAAAACAGUUAUGUGGUGAGGGAAUGCUGGCUGCUGGCCAGCCAUUGACUAUGAAAUCCUGGGUACCUGAGAGCUUAUCAGUUCUUUUGCUUUGUAAAAGAAAAAAGUGAUGAAAAUGUUGGUAAACUGCCAUGAAGGUUUAAGGCUCCUGGAACAAGGAGCCGUGUAAUCAGAUUGGAAAAUGGAGCUUGAGAUUCUCUGCAUGGAGAGCAGCCGUCUGUGGACCCCGUGAGCCGCUGUGCAAGUGCCCGAGCUGACCACUUUGUUAGCAAAUCAGCUUGUUUGCUGCAGCAGCAGGGUGGAAAAGACCAGAGCUUGUGAUGGUAUGUAACGGAGGGAGAGCUCUUGCAUGGCACAAUCUAAUCAGCUUGCAAUUAGCUCAGGCUCUACAGUCACCUUCUUAAUUUUCUUUUUUCCCCCCUCUUUGUGUUAAUACUGUGCACUUUAAACAAUUAAGGAAGGGAAGUAAUCCUUCAAGCAAAUCAAAACCAUCCUUUAAUUUUAUCACCCUGCUGAAAAAGUAUCAGGUGGUCCACUGGUCCUCAUCAGAUGCUGGAAAUUCUCCGGCUCACUGUAGCACAGAGAGGGGCUUUAACCAAUUGAUUUUUGGGAUAAUCUUUCAAAUAUCUUGGCAAGGAGGAGAAGAAAAUGGUACAUCAUUUAAACUAGAAUCAAAGUUAAAACUGAUGUGAAGGGGGAUUACAAAUGCCUUUUGGUUUACAUGCAGUAGUAAAUGUCUUUUGGUUUAUAUACAGUAGUGCCUCUGUUUUAUAUUUUUAAUAACCAGAGGCAGGCUCUGUGUGUGUGUGUGUGUGUGUGGUGUGUGAAAGAGACAUCUGUGUGUGUAUGUCUCAUAUAUAAAAUCCUUUAUACUGCUGUUUAUUUAGGCAUUUCUUUACAGCACCUUUCUGAAGACUCUGAUGACAUAGCCACUUGUACUGAUAAUUCCACUACUUCACCUUUACCGAACUUGAUUCACUAAGGUUUAAAAGAACAAGGCUAUCAUUGCUGAUCAUAUGUGCUACUUGUUAAUCCCUUAAAAUAAAAUUCAGAUCCUGUGGGAGAGAGGUGAGAAGAACAAAACAGAGAUUUGCAAAAUUGGUGUAACAGUUUUAUAUUUUACUGAAUUUAAGGACAAUGACUUCUGUAAUAUCACUUAAAUAAGAUGCCUAUUUACAUAAACAAAAUAAACAAAUCUUCUAAUAAAUAUUACUUAAGCUACUUUUCCUCAUCCUCAGAGUUUUUGCUAAAAUAUUAUUCAUGUGACUGAAUCUCUGACCAGAUACGUUUAUUAGGUGUUUGUCUGUCAUGAGGUGAAAAUGGGCACUAUUUCACCAACGUUUACUUUAGAAAGCACUACAAGAAAUGAUUACUAUAAUAGCUUUUGCUUUUAAUGGUUAUUAAAUAAUCAAUUAGAGUAUUUUAAAUAAUUCUGCUGCAUAAUAGUCCAUUUCUUUUGGAGGUUGUUUGUGUUAAUAAAAAUAAAAAUUGCUAUAAUGUGAUUGAUGUUUGAUUACAUUAACAUUGUAUUUGAAUUCUUUCCAUGUUGGCAACAUGAAAAUUUAUUUGCCUUUAUUAAAUGGAAAAAUAUUACUGUUUUAUUUUGCCUUAAAAAAAACCUCACAACAUAUAACCAAGCAUUUGAACUCAGCGGUUUUUAUUUUAACAAACAAUUCAAAAAGUUUAGGUGUUCGUGUAUUAAUGUUGCCUUUAAAAUAGCACUUGUUAUCUUUCUAUAUGUAUUUGAUUAUAUGUCUUACAUUUUGUACUUGGAAGAAUGAAUUCAGUUUGAUAGAAAAUGAGAGUAAUUGAUAUAAAGUGCAUUUCAAAUUAAGUAAGCUUUUAAGUUUGCCUCAGGGUUUUGCUGGUGUUUCUACAGUGUGUCCUUUUUUUGUUUUUUAACUUUUUUGUUUCUAAUUAAAAAAUAGAUUAAAAGAAACAUACAUCACCUACACACAUCUCAUGCUGCAAAGAUUCACUUUAUAUUCUUUUAGAGGACAAACUCCAUUAGAUAUGCACUUACUGUACAUUGGAUUGUAAAUCUUACAAUUUAAUGGUAAUUCAGUGAGCAGUUAUUGCUUCAGUGGCCUUUUUUCUUUCUUUUUUGUCCCAUCUCACUUGUGAAAUAGGGUUACCCUUUACAAGUGUCACAUCCAUAGAUUCAUCUUUUGUACUUUGUAGUUGUUCCUGGUGCAUCAUUCUUAUGUUUAAAAAAAGGCAAAGCAAUGGAGGAACCAUGUGGAGGGUGGUAGGUGGGGAGUGUGUGUACGUGUGUGUUCAGAGGGUGGGGGCUGUGGAAUGACAGCUUUCAUGCUUAUUCCAGAGAGCGAGGGAGGGGCAGGGGGAGAUAUCCAGAAAGAUACAAGACUCUAGCAACAGAAUAACCAGGAGCGUUAGCAUCAGUCUAACAGAUUAAUAUCUUUUUCUAAAUAUGCAUUUCCUCUAACCUCAUUCUUAAUCUAACGUUCAGUUUUCCGUAACAGAUUGCAUUCUGCACUUGAAUUCCUGGAAGUAGAAAUAGUAUCUGAUUGGUACAAGUCUCUUUGCCUUGCUUACACUGUUAAUAUUCUUAUCCUUUUUGGACACUGAAAUAGUUUUUUUUUUUUUUUUGUAGAAACAAUAUACACAUUCAUAAAGAAAUUAUAAAGUGAUUCUCCUUUUGAAGAUAAUGAGUUCUCUUCAGGAACUGCAGGUUACAUGGCGCACAAAUGAGCUCUAAGUGGGGGGAUUUAAAGUCCUGCUACAGCAUUUAAUUUCUUGAGGAAAGGAGUUCAGUUCAAGGUUAGCCUGUUAUUGUGGCACUGGCAACUACUUCUCGCGUCCCUGUUCUUCUGCCAGCAGUACUGCACAAAAGGCAGUCAUUUUUAUUUAAUACGUAGGGAGGUAUUAAUCACUGCAGUAUUUUCUUGCAAAAAUUUAUCUUAUCAUAUUCAUUGUUUCACUACCCAUGACAAUAAUAGGUGUUUAAUUACUCAAUAAGAGCCAUUUAUAGAUUCCAUUUUUCCUGUAUGCUGGACAAAUGGUAUUGAUUUUGUACUUUGAUGCAACAUGAAACUGUAUUAAACACAAUUAGAAUUCCAAGGCUGGUAAAAUGUACAUUUGUUAUGGUAACUGGACUUGCUUUGAGAAGCUGCAAGCGUCUUCUAAUACAGGGAAUGCCUUUGGAGUAAAAAGGAGAUUUGAUUUUAUUGCAGCUCUGUGGUUAAAAAUGAAUGCUUUUUUUCUUAUGUUGUGUGUCUAUGUGUGUGUGAGUGCAUGUGUGCAUGUAGAUUUUAGUUUUAGUGAAGUAAUAAAAAGUUUAUAUUAAUUGAAAAGAUUUUAAAUGAAUGGUUCUUUGCAGUCAGACAAGCCAUUGUGUACAGGUGAACACUGACUCUGUGUAAUCUUGUAAUUGUGUCUCUUUAGCUAAUGCCAUAGGUCUUUAUUUUACCAACAAGUAAGUUAUUACCUGGAGUGAGGGUAGGAACUCUACUAGAUAAAGUAGUACCUUCAUCUCAUGCUGGUUUCUAGUUUAACUCCUUCUAAGGUGAUGAGGAAGGCCUCCAAAUCCCUAUUGUGUCAUAAGUUAAAGAGUGGGUUUUGUUAAAAUUGGCACUAAAUAAAAACCUUUCAUUUAGCUAGCACUAUUAUGUCAUAGUCAGGCAGCACAAAGUCUUGCACAGAACUGAACUCAAUUCUGUCUUCCAGCAGUGCAAGUCUGCCUGCAUUUUGCUUUACUUUGCUUUUUGCAAACACAUUUCCACCUGCCAUUUGGCCCAUCCAAAACUAUAAUUUGAGAAGACUCUCUUGUUGGCCAAUGCAUUAAUUGCCUGUGAUUUUCAGCUUCUUAAAGAUUUAUUUGCUGUGGAGGAAGGGCAUUUAGCCUAACCAAAAUAAAAAGCAAAAUGAACCAAGGAUAGACUAGCAGUUGCCUAAUCUUCAUAAUUUCCACGAAAGUGUAGCUUGUAUCCUUGCUAAAUCUUACUUUGUAUUUUUUUCUAAGGAUCAUAGACCUCCAGGCUGAAAUUUCUCAGUUUUAGAGAGUGAAUGGAUGACUACCCUUAUCCCUAAAUAAAGGAAGUAGCUCAUUGACACAAUUCCUUUCUGCAUCGAGGGUAUUUUAUUUGCUGGAACACUAAUGACCAGUACUAGAACACUAAUUGAUAGCACUACUUUGACACAGAAUUUUUAACAUUUGUGUAGAAGGCACAAAACUUCAGGAGAGAUUUUAUAAAUAUUUGCCAUUUGCUUCACAGUACAGAAACAACCUCAGUCAAUUGUUUAUUAGUUUUAAUUGAACAUUUCUUAUUCAAUUAAUAUUUGUAUUAUUAUUUUCCUUAUGGGUUGUCAUAUGAUAGGAUAUGUUAACAUUUGUAAGGCAAUGAGAAAAUAAAUAACAGUUUACAUCUGGCUAGUGUAUUCCUUUUUAUCCUAGAGCUUUCAAGAGUGAGAGUAAAAAUAAAUUGAUUGACCUGCCCAUUUUAAAACACCAUUCUAUUUUUUUCUCAUAAAUAUGAAAAGAAAACCCAACUUUCAUUCCCGAAGUAUGUGUUUUAUGUUUAUUUUACCUUGUUAUAGGGGCUGGGCAGAUACUGGGAAGAAGGGGCUUCUCGGGUAAUGGAAUCUGAGGUCUGCAAAGUCCUGUUCAGAUAGAUCCUUGAACACAUAGUAAAUCGCUUCUUGAGUGGGAUGGGGAAUGCUGUAGUUUAUAAGGUAGGAUUACCUUUCAAAGGAGAAGAAAAAAAGUCUAGAUAUUUCCAAACCUUUGGUCUUUCUCCAGCAUACUGAAACUAAGGUCUGCUUGAUUAUCUGGCCUGGGCUGUAGGUCGCUGAUGAUUUCAUUUGUGAUCUCUCCAGAUGAACUCUUUUGUACUUUAUAUUUCAGCUUAGACAAAUCAUUUAUUUACUUAAUAAUGUGCAUGUAGUUUCAAUUAAGUGAAAGAUGAUCCCAUGUAAUUAGCUAGUUGUAAAGUGGAUUACAUAAAAAACUGGCAUGGAGGCUGUUCUAUAGCUAAAUAUUACUUUUUAGAAAGGCUUCCACCUCAAAAAGAGUGUCUGGAUUGCCCAAGGAGUGUCUGGGUUUGAAUUUGGGCUGCACAACUCCUUACUGCAAGGUGAUGUAUUCCUUCUCUGUGUUUGCCAAGGUCAAAGUUAUGUGAUGCACGUGGAAACUUGGCUUUCUAAGGAAGCCAUCUGAGUCCUCAUUAUGGCAUCAGAAUGUAUGAAGACUUACACUCUGGUAUGCAUAAGGACACCCAUUGCCGUAUUUACGGUACCUUAGACUCUUCAGGAAGAAUCUAUUUUGAGAACUUUACUUUUGUCAUCUUAUCUCACAGAAACUUUCUAUAUCGUUGUGAACAAUGAACAAUAGUCUAUAUGCAACCAUUACUUCUUAAGCAUUAAUAUCAUAUGUAACUUCUGAAUUCCUUUAACUUCCUUACUUGGGGUAGUAUAGUAUUUUGUUUGUGGAAGCAAUUCUAGACUCCUGUGUCUACCUUGUUUUUCUUUUUCUCCCCUUACAGAUUUUGCCUUUCCUCCCUCCAAACCUCAGCACCGUCCACUCCUGCCCCCAUCUAGCAGGAUUCUCCUAACCUCACUUUUAGCUGUUUGAAUAAAAAUCGAUAAGACUAUUAUAAGCAUUUGAAACUUUUUAAAAGACAGAAACAAUAUUUUAAUUACUACUGACAUGCCAGUUGGAAGCCCAUAUCCUCUUUUAUGACAGUUCAGUUUAGAAACUACAUUGCUUCAUUUCAGUAACUUUAUUACCAUUUGGCUUAGAGAUUGCUAUUUCGCCUUGGCCACAGAUUUCAUCAGUUGCCCGGUUCACCUUUGUCCACAUUAUACUUGUGAAAUGACCUCCUCCGUUAGUGCUUGUCAAUAGUAAAUUGCUAUAUUCUGCGCCUAGAAACACACCAAAGGACUACAACAUUUUAUUGAAUGACUGAGUUUGUACUUAAUUUUUAAAAAUUAAAAUUUAAUUGGAACAGUCUUAAUUACAUUUAAUACUAGUUAAUUAAGGCACUGGUUAGGGUCAGCUAUCACAGACAUCAUUCUUAUUGAUAGUAGGAACAAUAAACACAGCGUAGUGUGCAGGUGUCUAUAUAACAAGUAUGUUUUCUUUGGUGUUUUCCCCCUUUAAUUUUCUAACUAUUCUAUCAAAAUAACAAUAUGUGAGGUGGCCAAGAUUCAGUUAUCCUGAUGACAUCAAAUUAAUUUUUUUUGAGAAUUCCCAAUGAUGAAAUUAUCUCUUCACAGAAACUUCUUUUAAAAUGUUGAGAAAUUUGUGCUAUUGUAACAUAAAGACAAAUAGGAUUUGAUAUCACAAUGUGGCUUAAAAAUAGUUAUGUAAACAAUCUUAAAUAUAAAUUUUUAUUUGAAACAAAUGACUGAAAUAGUAUAUUUGGAAGUAUUUAGAAAUUUCUGGUUAUAUCAAGACCAGUAGUAUCUCUGUUAAAUAUGUAUUUUUCCUAACUACAGAUAUUUUUAUUUAUUAUAAGAUUUACAGGAAAAGAAAAAAUGCCCACUCUUCACCUCUUUUCACAGAUAGUUUCACUUUUUUAUCUCCUUAACAAAGCCAUUUCCAUAAAUAGAUCACUGCCAAGUUGUUUGAAAAUUAGGGUAAAAUAAAAGGCCUGCAUUCUUGGAAAUCUCAUUUUAAUGAGAUUUACAAUAAUGAUUAAAUACUGUUGAUAUUUUUCAAAUGUUGCUUGAUAUGGACUUAGUUUUGGUUGUAUAAUUUCACAAAGAUUAUUUUACUUUACUAAAAACACUUAAAUUCCAAAUUCCAUCUCUUCUGCAUUUUUAAUCUUCUUUGUUUCUGUUUUGUCACUACACUCUUUGAAAUAACCUGAUAUCAGGCAGAGUUUACCCACUAGAGAAUAAAAUGAGGAUCAUACUAUUGAGGAGUGUUUUUUCUUUUUUUGUUUUUUUUUUUGAGACAGAGUCUCAUUCUGUCGCUAGGGUGGAGUGCAGUGGCGCGAUCUUGACCCACUGCAAGGUGCAACCUCCACCUCCUGGAUUCAAACGAUUCUCAUGCCUCAGCCUCCCGAGUAGCUGGGAUUACAGGCACAUGCCACCAUACCCAGCUAAUUUUUUUGUAUUUUUGGUAGAGACGGGGUUUCACCAUGUUGGCCAGAGGAGUGUUGUUUUGACAGAUAAACAUGGUAAGCUUGGUUGUUUUCUUCCUGAAUGUUUUGAAAUAAAAGAGGAUUGAAAUUUUAUUCCUCAAUAGAAAUUAAGAAUAAUUAUAUAACUCUUGUACAAUUUUAUUGAUGUUAGGCAAUGAAGACAGAAAAGAAAUGUUAAGUUUUUCUCCUUCCAGAUGUAACUGAUGCUGCAAUGGCCGUGACAUUCAGGAAUAUGAAAGUUUUCAUCGUUUGUUUAUACCUUUGGUCAUACUGGCAUAAUUUUUUUUGUUUGUUUUAAAUGAGAUUAUUGCUCUAGAAAAGAAAAACUUAAUAAAACCUUGUGUUUGAAAAUAAAAUUUUGUCAGAAUUUCAGCCAACAAGAUUUCCUGUGUGAUGCACAACUAAUAUUUCAGUGUUGCUGUUCCUCAAAGAUUGGGUUUUAGGGUGCAUGCAGCUCAGGACAGAAUUAUAUCAAACCAAAAGCAUAUGCAGUCUACAUGUGAUUUGUUUGGAUGAUAUGCAAAGAUAUGAAUUGUGUAUUUUAAUCAGUAUACUUUAGUUUCAUUUUACAAAAAGAAAAAUUAGCUCAGUCUAAAUCUGAAAUAAAUACAGACAUUUACAGGCACCUGUUUGAAUCAUCAUGAUUAGGUUUAUUUUAUGAUAUAUUAAUAUUAUUAAAAUUCCCAGUAAGAAGAAGUCACAUUUAAUAUACAAUAUUUGAGUGGAUUGUGUGUGCUUAUUAAUAGUGUCACAGUUUAAGUAAAACUAUUAAGCCGCCAUCUUUACAUACUUGGUUUUACCUUUUUGGAUGUCUUGGGCAAAGGUUCAAGGUAUUUCUUUUCAGGUAAAUAAUUUGUAACUGCUGUUAAUUAAAAUAUAGUUCUCUAAAAUAGAACCCAUUUAGAAAUAAUAAUAGUUGGAAAUAAACAACAUGGAAAACUAGAUGAUUUGUGGUUCAAAUUUACUGAUAGAUAAGUUAAACAUUAGAGCCAUAAAGUGUAAAUUUGCGUAGCAUUUAACAAGCUUUAGAAGAGCAUUAAAAGUAACCUAUAUGUAAUAUGCAAUACGAAUAGAGCUUCACAGAGCCCCAGAGGAAGCUGAAAAUGUAGUUCAGGAUGCUUCAGGCUGUCUGAGAUGUUGAGAUUAUGUUCCACAAAGACCAAAAUAAGGUUUCAGCAAGGUUUUCUUGCAACAUGUAAGUUUUCCAGAUGAAGAGAAAUGGACAUAUAUUAAAUUUCCAGCAGCUUAAAAAUGCAGUCAUUUGUAAGUGAUUAAAAUGGACGUUGUUUUUAGUUUUUCUGUAGUAGUUGGCAUUCCUUAACUGGUUUUUAUAUUAAACCAGUUAUGUUAAAAAACAAACAUGUAUACAGUGUGCCUAUCUUGUCACUAUGUUAAUAGAAAAUCAUUCAAAAAUUAAAGGAAAGAAAAGUAAAACCAUUAUAAUAAAAGAUUGUGAGAGCUGCUUGAGAGUUGUGGGGAGUAAUCUUGCAUCACAUCUAUUAGGAUUGUCAAAAAAAAAAAGACAAAAAAUAAACAAUAUAAAAUAGAGUUUACAUAGUACUCUUUUCUUUAGAUGUUUUUUGGAAGUCUCACAUGUUGUCAACUUAUGUAUUUUUUAUAUAAAGUGACCUGUAACUAAAAUUUUAAGAAUUUAGUUCUGCCAUUGUCUUGAAAUUAAGCAGGUAAAAACACAACCUCUCUGGGUCUCAGUGUUUUUCAUCUUAAAAUGGAUGACUUCCAUCCAAAGAUUUCUAAAUUCUCUUUCAGCUCCAAAACACUAUGAGAAACUAUGGAACUAUGAAGUUCCAUCUGAAAAUUUUUAAGAACAUGGAAACUGAUUGUGCUACUCAGCUUUUCUGAGUAGCCUUUGGUUUGGAGCUACAACCAUAACUUUCUUUGAGAAAUGGAAACAUCAGGAAUGGUACCACUACAUGCAAGGUGCUAGGAGUAGAAAGCAAUAGACAGAUUCACAAUGUUAUAAAUGGUGGUGAUAUGAAAUGUGACCCUGAUAAUGGUUAUGUGGUGCUUUGGAAAUUUACCUCUCUUACAGACUUUGUCCUUUUGUAUGUGAAGGUGACACUGAACAGUGUGUCUGAACAGAAUGAUGUGUAAUCUGUAGUUCUUUAUAUCUUAUCAGCUGCAGAUCCUGGUUUUGUGGAGCCUGAAGCUUGCACAACAUGGGGGCCGUGUUUUAAUGAGAACAAUAGUACAAAAUUAAAAAUGCAAAACUAGGUACAGGCAUUGGAAGGGGCCAGUAUUUAGUGAGGAUCAGCUUCAUUACGCUUCAUGGUAGAUCUGUCUCUGCUGAUUACAUAUGUGAAAACUGAGAAUGGGUAUUUGAAAGCUUCAUUUGGACCAGGCUUAUUCAAUUUGUGUUGGUAGAUAUUCAUGGCUGGGAGGACAGCACUGGUUCUAUUUUUAGAAAUUUUAACAAGUGCUACUUUCCCAGCACUGAUGGUACAAAUCACAGAGCUGGGGGCGAGGUUGCAAAAUCUGGAUGACUCAGUUUCCAAAAUUACAGUUUUUCUACUUAUAUUGAUAGUACUUACACCAGAAGGUGCUAGCUCUUUGAUCAAAUACUGAAUUGUGAGGAAAUCAGAUUCAAGUGUCAUGUUAAAGUUAAAGUCAUGAAGGGAAGAGAAACCAGAGCUGACUCGACUGGUAAGAAAUCUUAAUAAAAAUGGGGACAUUUGUAACAAUAAUUAAGGCAGGGAAAUGCUGAUUAGCGUUCAGCUACUCUAGUGAGAAGCAAAAAGCACCAAUAAAGCAGAUAUUCUUCGUCUGGAUGCCUUGCUUCCUCAGUGAGUCAGUCCCAAAGGGGCCUCCCCUCAUGCCACUGUAUACUCUGCUGGGAGCUUUGUCGGCUAAAGCUUCUAAUAUCUACAGUGGCUUCUCUUGCAGCACUUUGGUUUCCAGGGAACCAUCCGCAGGUUCUACUGAUUUGUCAGUAUCUUUACACUCAGCCUCUGGUUGCACCAGGCAUUCAUCUUUGGUAGUUGCAGUGUGUGUUUGGGCCCUCCUGUGUCCAGAUUAUGCUUUGAAUCAGCACAUAUUUAUUGACUAACUGUAGGGUACACAACUAUGGUAAAGAUGAUAAUACGUAAUCUUACCUUUGGGUAGCUGCUUGCAAUUUAUGAAAUACCUUUAUAUCCAUUACUUUCCUUGCUUCUCACAAUUCCAAGAGGUAAGCAGACUCAGUGCUGUAAUUCACAUAUUACAGAAGACAAAACUGAGAUUAAGGAAAUUGCCCAGGUCAAACAAUUAAGAAGUUGCAGAGGACUUGAGCCCUGAGCUACUGACUCAAUAGAUAUUUUUUUUAACCAUUACAUGGACCUUGCAAUUUAUUAGGGAGAUAAGAAAUGCAAAUUUUUUUCCCUUAAAUGCAUGUGUAUCUUUAUAUAGAGAUAUAUUUCCUUAGUAAUUGUACUAUAAGAAAGCAUCAAGAAAGUGUCUAAAUAAAGCACCCAGUGAAGAGUUGUACAUCUAGUGUGUUCCAGAAAUAUGAAUUGAUUAGACUUGAUAUAUGUCUAUUAAGCACUUGGAGAGUACAGGGCACUGUUUUAGAGCCCUUGUUAAUUGAUUAUCAUGGCUGUGUGUUGUUUUGGGCCCUGGGCCCUGUUUCAGUGAGAAGAUAGAGCUAUCAGAGGAAAAGCCAUCAGUAGUUUUAGACACUAGACUUCUCUCUGCUUUCACAAAAUGCCAUCCCAGAUUCAGAGGCAUUUCUUAUCCUCAAAUGGAACAUCUUCACAUACCACAGUGUUCCAUUUCCCUCUUCCAAUGGCCUCCAUUGCUUGUAACCUUGACUGAACUCUCCCCUUUUUGCAUUCUCUAUAAAUCUGCUAGUCACCACUCCCACAACAUAGCCUAUUAUGACAUUGCUGCAACCUAGCCUCUGAAUUCUGGAUUUCAUCUUCUCUCAUCCAGGCUGAUGUGUUCUGAAACUAGAGCUUCCAGACCCUUCUGAGUUCUCACUGUCGCCAUUCUGCGACAAAUCCUGCUUCUUGUUAUCCUAUGAAACUAUAUUUCAGAGCCCUGCCCCAGUGUCCCCUUCCUUCUUUCUCUUCUUCAAGUGAAACUGCUCAAAGACCUCAUUAUUCACAUGCUUCCACAUCUGUACCCUUAACAGCCUUCCAAAUGAUUUGAACAGCCUCACUUUUUUGUCAGUUACAUAAGGAAGUGCCUUCCUUAUGUCACUGUGGUGAAAUUAUUUUCUCAAUUUAUUCUGUUUCAAAAAGAACAAAAAAUGUUCCUCCAGCGUUAUAACUAAUCACAAUGUCAAUAGUUUACUAGGUGCAUAACUGGUGCAAAAUGCGAACACAAGGCAUGAUGGCUUUUCUGUAUUUUAGAAUCUGUUUCAGGAGGGGUUCUUCUUCUUCUCCUUCCUUCUCCUCCUCCUUCUUUCCUUUCCAAUUUUCUGUAUCUCUUCUUCCAAUCAUAAUUUCAUACAGUCAGUCAUAGGGUAACACAAAAAUAACAUGUUCCUAAGUGCAGGUAAACUCACCUCACAAGCUUAGAAAUGCAGUAUAAAUAAACCAAACUUUAAGUAGAUAUCAGAGCAUGGUUAUAUUACAAAUGGUUCAUUCAAUUUAUAAACUAUUUUUUCAUUCAGCCUCCUGAAUAUCAGGUCCCUCUAGUAUACUAAAAUUAUCUGAUUUACCAAAAAAAUUUCUGUACAGCUGUUUGGCAAUAGCUCUUCUAUUCAAAAAUUCACUACAGAUUCUAUUAAGAUUCCUUUCUUAAGCUAGUAUAAAACUUUAAUUGAACCUUAAGUUUCUCCCUGAAUAGGAAUUUUUUAAACCUUUGUUCUCAGGGAAACUGUACCAUUAGAAAGUAACAGUGAAUUUUUGCGUCAUUAUUUUUUAUCAUUUUUUUGGAAAGAUGUUCUAAAUGUAAAACAAGGUAAGAAAGUACAUUCAUGUGAACAUGUAGAACUUGGAAUGCUCUACAUUUGAAAAUACACUAACCUAAAAUUGUAAUAUUUUAUAUGGCUUGACAAUUUUUAAUGUUGACCUAACAUACUUCCAGAGGGUAAUUAGGUAGCUGUGUGGUUUUGAACAUGUAAAUCGUUGACAUGUCACUUUUUAAGAAAAAUCAGUAUAAAAUGGCAGUUUUGCUUUUUGUGCUUUUUGAAAGCUACCAUGGUUUUAAAAAAAUUAUCUUAAUUUUAUAGAACUAAAAACAUCUGAUAAAACCAUUUCUUCAUACCUGCCUUUCUCUGUUCUAACAACUAAAAACUUCUUUCUUGAUUUAGGCUUUGUGAAAUUUAAGCUCACAAAGCUCUUAGAUUUAGAAAGUUCCUGUUGCAUAGCUAUUGUUGGGUUCUGUGUAGAGUGUGCUUUCCCUCAUUUAUUCCUGUAGGGUUCCUUGUGGUAAGUUUAGGUACAUUCCUUUCUAGAGGCAAGGGGAGGGUUUUCCUCUCCCCAGGGUGCCAGUGAAACUCUCCAUUACUUUGUCAACAUGAGACUGCCUUGCCUAGAGAGACAAAAACCAACCAAAUUUCUUUUCCAUGUAUUUUGUUUCUUCUCUGUUAAAACAAGAAAACUUUAUUUUCAAGCCUCCCUUUUAAGAAACGUCUUUCUUACUGACGGGAACUUAAAACAUCUGAAAUGAUUUUCAUGACAUAUUACUGGCAGGCUCUGGUGUGAGAAUUCUGCAUGUUUCAAAAGUUCCUUGGCAAGCGAUUGAAAGGUAGAAUGCAGGAUCCCACAGAAGGAAUAGUUUGCGUUGUGCUUAAUUUUCCUGACCAGUCUACAAAAGUUCUGUUUCCUUAUUUAUCUGAAUUGUGGCAUUAAGUGACUUUACCAUCUUUCAUUAAUUAGAUGUAUUCAGAGAUUCAAAUUAACAAUUAGCAAGCAGGGAAGGUGGUGUUCUACUCUGUAGCUCUGGUGACAGGGCGGGAGACUUCCACUCCCUUCAUCCUUGUUUUGUAGGGUGGGGGGAAUCUUGGAAAUAAGACCUGCAUUGUCUCAGCUUCAGGGCCUCCCUGUCUUGGGGCUGGCAUUCUAAAAGUGUAGCAUUGGGAGACUAGGAGUGGCGCCAGGGAGGGGGAAGGAGGAGGAGGGAGCAAAGGGGCAGGUAAUGACCACAGGCCAUCUAGGUCUUCUAUCUUUCUUCUUUCCCUAGUUUGCUAUCCUCUCGCAAUUCCAUUUUCUUUCAAUAAUUUAUUGAAAGUGUUCAGGAUGGGCUGUUAGAGAACCUCCCAGGGAAGAUGAGGAGAGGCAGAGAAUAACAUUAAUUCUAACCAAAACCCGUAUAUGUUGGAGGAAUGAACAGAUCCCUUUUAUAGAACUUGAAAAUGAGCCUCCAGGAGGUUAAAUAAGCUGCUUACAGUUUCACAGCUAGAAACAGGAGAGGCAGAAUUCAAAAGCACAUCUUUCUCAUUCCAAAGCUCAUGCUCUCUGAGGCAUACUCCAUGGCGGUGGUGCACUGUGAGCAGGAAGGGAGUGCCCUUUUCCAUCUAUCUCCCUUUUUCUUUAUCUCUUCUCAAGAGGAUGAUAGGGAAAUAGAAGUGACAAUGAAGAUAGAGAGAUUGGAGGGAGGGAUAAGGAAAAAUACCUGUAAUAACAACAAUAAGCACAUAUGAUUGCUCAGUGCAAUUUUAUGUGCUUUACCUAUGGUAUAUAGUAUAUGUUGUUAUAGUAUACAACCUCAAGGUAUAACUCUUAUUAUCUCUAUUUUAUACACGAGAAAACCAGGCUCAGAGAAAAUUACUUGCAUAUGGUCCCAUGACCAACUGGUGUGUUGUGGAACUACCCUCUAGACCCAAAGCUGCGGGAUUUCAAAGGCUCUUGACCUCCUAGUGCCUCUCCCUUUCCUUCUGUCUCUGCCAACCUGGACUUGAAGAAAGUUGGGCUGCAGAAAGCAGGGAUGAGGUAUAGUGUUGAAGAGGAGUGUUUGGGUGUUUAUGUUUUAGGAAGGAGGCAGCACACCUUCCUUCACCCUCAUUUAAUACAUUUCACAUCCUGACUUGCCUCUGAGAGGACCACUGUGGUGUGACUCCGGGUUGGGGGAGAUGGACACAUAAGUAAUCAUGACACAGAGGCUGGGUGUGGUGGCUCAUGCCUGCAAUUCCAGCACUUCAGGAGGCCAAGGCGGAGGAAUCACUUGAGGCCAAGAGUUCAAGACCAGCCUGGCCAACUUGGCGAAACCCUGUCUCUACUAAAAACACAAAAAUUAGCUGGGUGUGGUGGUUCAUGCUUGUAAUCCCAGCUACUCGGGAGGCUGGGGCAGGUGAAUCGCUUGAACCCGGGAGGCAGAAGUUGCAGUGAGUCAAAAUCCUGCCACUGUACUCCAGCCUGUACAAUAGUGAGAACCCGUCUCAAAAAAAAAAAAAAAAGAAAGAAAAGAAAAGAAAAAAAAUUAUGACACAAUGUGCUUAGUGCUGUGUCAGGGAAAGCAUAGCCCUUUAAUAAGCGCUUAAAUUCUGUUAAUCCUCUGUAUCUAUAUCCUAGUCUCCAAAAUGGGGAUCAUGGCUGGGCGCUGUGGCUCAUACCUGGAAUAUUAGCACUUUAGGGAACCAAGGUGUGGGGAUUGCUUGAGCCCAGGAGUUCGAGACCAGCCUGGGCAACAUAGUGAGACCUUGUCUCUUAAAAAAAAAAAAAAAAAAUUAGCCAGACACGGUGGUGUGCAAAUGUAGUCCUAGCUACUUGGGAGGCUGAGAUGGGAAGAUUGAUGUAGCCAGGGAGAUUGAGGCUGCAGUGAGCUGAGACUGGACCACAGGACUCCAGCCUGGGCAACAGAGCUAGACUUUUUCUUAAAAAAACAAAACAAAACAAAACAAGACAACACAAAAACAAUAAAACAAAAUGAGGAUCAUAACACUAUCUCACAGGAUUAUAAGAAGGAAUAAGUGACACAGUGUAUGUGAACUUUCCUGGCACUCUCUCAAAAUUAAUGUUGAAUCUCCACAAAGUGCUCUGAGAAUAUGAAAGAGGAGGCAAAUAACUCCUGGAUACUUGCAGCGAUAUUUCAUCCAAGAAAGUGACAUUAAAGUUGGGCCUUAAGUGAUAAGUAAACGAUUGUGAGGUGGGAAAACAGGUAGAAUAGGUUGCUAAUUUCUAAGUCAUUUACUUUUUUCUAGUCUGUUUCAUGGGGUACCAGGAAACACUCUGAGGUUCAGAAGCACCUCACCAGAUUUACUCCUAGUUUUGUUGAAAUAUAUGAUUGUGUUAUACCACCUAACAUCUGCUCUUAUUAAGAAUUUUUUCCUACCUAGGAAACUAUUGUUACCAUUAACAGUCUUCUUCUUUUUAGAUCACUGUUUCUUUUCAUGUCUUUAUUCAGCUUCUUCAUCCAAAAACACUGUUUUUUUUGUUUUGUUUUGUUUUUUUGAGAUGGAGUCUUGCUCUCUUGCCCAUCCUGGAGUGCAGUGGCAUGAUCUUGGCUCACCGCAACCUCCACUUCCCAGGUUCAAGAGAUUCUCUUGCCUCAACCUCACAAGUAGCUGGGAUUAUGGGCACAUGCCACCAUGCCCGGCUAAUUUUUGUAUAUUUAGUAGAGACCCUGGGGUUUCACCAUAUUGGCCAGGCUGGUCUCGAACUCCUGACCUCAAGUGAUCCACCCACCUUGGCCUCCCAAAGUGCUGGAAUUACAGGCGUGAGCCAAUGUGCCUGGCCGUGCUAUUUUUUAAGAAUCCAAGAUGUGCUAAGCAUUUUGCUGGGUGGGAAAAUGUCUUUGUCUUUGAGGAACUUACAGUCUGUUGGGUAGACAACAGACUUGUGAACAAGUAAAGCACAGUGUGAACUACUAAGUGCUAUAAUUACUGGGAAUAUACAUCUUAGUUUGCCCAGGAUGGUCACAGUUCAUACCUGUUGUUCUAACGUAAUUACUAAUAGUCUUUCAUUUUCAGAUGUGUGCUGAUUUGGACAACAAAUUUUAUGGUUACAUGAGUUAAAAUAUGUGUGUGUGUGUGUGUAAGAUAUUUUGCAUGUUGACUGAAGAAAUGACAAGCUCUAAGGAAUCAAGGAUGAUUUUCUUAGGAAAGGUGAUAUUUGAGCAGAGGCAUGAUGCCGAGGGCAUCACUAAUAAGAGAAGGUGGGGAGAGGAAGGGAGGAAGUGCAUUUUACAUGAGCUAGAGAUGCAGAUGGGCAUUAGGUAGUCAAGAGGCAAUAACAAAUCACAAGUUCCAUGUGCCUGGAACAUUGCUGGGUGGGGGAUUAAGUAGUGGGAAAAUUUUGUAGGCAAGUAGGGAAGAAUGAAAUCAGAAUUUAAUGAUUGAGGAGCAAAUGAAAGUUGAGGAAGUUGAGAUGUCAAAUAUAGACACCUUCUAAGGAAUUUAAGGAAAAGAGUGACUGUGGUGAUAGUUUGAGAUGAAGAAAGAUAAAGUUUGGACAUUCUGAAAAUUGACAGUUAAUGUCAGAAGAGACAGAGACACCGAGCUCAAAACAGCAAGGGAUAUGUGAGACAAUGAGAUCUCAAAGGAGGGGGGCGGAAAGUGCAGUCUGGGGCCUGGGAGAAAGGGCUAGCCUAUGAAAUAGAGAGGUCAGAACAGCUGGGUGUGGUGAUGAACACCUGUCGUCCUAGCUACUCAGGUGGCCGAGGCAGGAGGAUUGCUUGGGCCCAAAAGUUGAAGUCCAACUUAAGCAACAUAGCGAGAUCCCCAUCUCUAACACAAUUUUUAGAAAGGAAAAGAAGGACUGUAAGAUGAUGGAGGUAGAGAAUUUACAGGGUAGGAUUGGGGGAGUAUCUAACCUGACAUUUUCUUUGUUUGGUGAAGUAGUAAAAUGAUUGAGCACAGCCAUUAAAGGACAUGGCCAAUAUUUUUGCUCUUAAUGUAGAUAAUGGCUAUAUGAUCUUGUCCCAGUGACUUUACUUUCCUGGACCUCAGUUUCUUCAUAUGUAAAGUAAGAGACUGGAUUGACACUUUCUAUGUUUUCAUCCAGUUCUAAGAUCUGGUUCUGUGUUUUACUAAAAAUGUCAUGAGAAGGCAGUUCCCUGCAUCCCUCACACCCUCCUUCUUGCUUGCCCCAUCCUGUAAAAGAGAGGAUUCCAUUGUCAAGUAAGUUAGGGUUAUGGUUAAUUGGGUUUCUUUACAAUAGGACCUCUUAGAGCCCCUAGAAUGCUAAUAGGUAUUAUGAAUAUUGAAGAGGAGGUUAUAGUACACAUUUCCCAAACUGAUUUAACUGUAUAAUCCAGUGUUCCAUAGAGCAUACCAUGAGAAACAUUGAUUUAAGCAUUUAUUCUCCCUUGUCAUUUGUAAAAAAUUCUAUCCCAAGUUGGUGGGGGCAAAACAAACAUUUUGAAUGGCUGUUGUCUCUGGUGAGCAUGCAUCUUUGCUUGGAAUAUGACGUAGUUCCUUCCACUAUCAGAAUAAAAAGCUCCACCAAACCUAGACCUACAGAAUAUUGAUAGAAAUAAAACAUGCAGCCCCGUCUAGGCAUGAGAUGGUGGCAGAGAGCUGCUGGAUGCUCCAGCUCUUCCCUUGAACAAGCUGAAAAGAGAGAAAGACUUGUUUACAGCUCUCAAAAGAAAGGCUGAGAAGUACAGGUCCUGUGUUACCUGUAUUAUUUCUAAAGUUCCGGAACAGCUAAGGAAAGGAAAUACAGAGUAAUGUGGCUCAGUUUGUUUGAUGUGGUAUUUAAUCCUUCUGGUUUAUAAUACCAUCUAACACAUAUGUUUCGUAUCACCUCAGAUAUAUUCCAAUAUGAUAUUUAAUAUAUUUAGAAAAGAAGAAAAAUCCCACUGGCAAGAAUGAGUUUCUCCCAGUUAUGAAGUAAUAUGUUUUGUUUUUACUAGUAUUCCCUAGCACAUAUGUGUUCUUUUUCAGUUCUCUUUUCUAACCCAAAUGAUUAUUGUGUGUGUUUGUGCGUAAGUGUGUGUGUGUAUGUUAUCUGUAGGUUUCUUUAUUGAUGUAACUACUCUAAUUUUGGUUCCUUUAAAUUGUGAUCAUCAUGAGGGAAAAGGAGUCCUUCCCUGAUAAUUCACAUUUUGUAAUGCUUUGUAAAGUGAACAUAUAAUUUCAACAGAUAUGCUUUUUUGCUGAUUCACUCAUGAGUCUUUAUAUUGUGCAAAGCCCUAUGCUAGGCACUGGAGAAAGUGAGAGAAUGGGACCCAGUCUCUGUCCUUUUUCUUGUCUUAAUCCUUCUCACUCUUGCAGUUCCUCCUCAGGAUCCAACCCCUUGCUCCUCACUCCUCUGGUCGUUUUAGCUAUCCCUUACUCCACUGAAUACACACACACAGAUACACACACACACCACAGGUACACACACACCUACAUCCCACUCUUGACUAGAUAAAGGGCCUAUGCCAGUUGUGGAAUCUGCUUAGAGGUUGAGGCAAAAGUCAAGGGGAUUUGCUUUCACUUGGAAAUUAGAGGUGUGGUUUCAGGUGGUUGGUGACCAGUUCACAUAGCUCUGGUUCACUCUGCCCUGCUGCCUGGAGUUGCCUUCAGUUUCCUUAGGUGAAAAUGGGUCAUGGGAAGAUGCUGAAGUUGCGGUUAAAGGAAGUACCAAGGCGCUUGCCUGACUCUCUUUAGACCUGCAGUUCUUUUAGGGACCACCUAUUGCAUCAAGGUUGAGCAGAAUGUUGCACACAUAUGUGACUUCUUUUACUUUUUCUUCGCAGAUUCUUAAAUUGUGUUUGCCUUCUUGUCUCCCUCACUCUCUCUGGUACAGAGGUCGUAGGUUUCAUUUGAUUACAUUUUCGUUCUCUGUUAAACUAGGCUGAGUCACCUUGCUCCACACAGCUAUUUAGAAUUUGCUCGUUUGUUUUUUUCUUUUUAACAUCUCCACUGUUAAAAGUUAAUGCUUUCUCCUUUUAUUUUCACUGACUGAAUGUCAGAGGACUUAACAUUAAUAGAAGUCUGUCUCCUCUAUUACCUUUCAGGAAUAGACAUUCAAACCCUUUCGGGAAUCAUAAUCUUCAGUAGAAAGAAAUCUAUAAUAGAUUGACAACUUUUUAAACAUCUUUUCCUAAUACUCUCAUAGCUUUCAAUUUGGACUGUUUCAUUUAAUUGAAGAAACAUUAUUAGCAUCUUUGCCAUGCAUAAAAAUAGAUUAUGUUUGAAGCAUAUGAAAUGUUUCUAGCUCCUUAGAAGAAAAUACAUUAAUAUCAUAUUGUUAUAUAUUGUUGAGCUUGUUUUUAACACCUUACUUAGGAGCCUAGCUAUAAAAUAAUUUUAACUAUGAAAGGGACCAACACCUCCUACUGGUACUUCCAGUUAAUCUCCUGGAUGCUUCUAGAAAGACUGGCCCUAUGCCUGCUUCUUACUGAAUCAUGUUCCUAUGUAUAAUAUUUUAUCCAAAUAAAUGACAAUACAAAAUCCUUUUACUUAAACAAGUUUAGGACUAUAAAAUAUUUCAAUUCAUAUUUUAAUUUUAAUAAUUUUGUUCAUAGCUUUCAGUAAUAAAGCAAAAUGGAACAUUUUAUUUUUGUGAAGCUUAUCAUUGUUUGCUAAGACAGUAAUGUUAGAAAAAUAAUCUUUUCCCUAGGCAUAACAAAACAAAUGUUUAAGAUAGAUUUGAUUGAGCAUUUAAAAUUUUUAAAGAUGAACUUGCUUCUGGGUCUUCACUUCUUGGAGAGAAUCCUUGGGAAGAAACUUAAAAAGAUUUGGAUUUGUCUUUUCUUUGGACAGAACAUUUUGUUCUUUAUUCUAAUUGCAAAUUCCUCUGGCCCUGGUUAUAGCACAUAUUUUCCUCUUUAUUCCACAACUUCCACUCUGCUUUCUGUUUGUUUUUAAUGCUCAGAAGGGUUAAUUUUUGCCUCAAUUCCUGAAAAGAGAAAGUUGAUUGCCACUAAUCCAUUUUAGUGUAGGUAACAUGAAAUAUUUGUUAACCAAAUUAAAUCUGGCUGAAUUGAAGUGCAUAACCACUCAUGGAAGGAUGCCACUCUCUGACUUACUGGUGUUAGUUUCUCUUGGAUUAAUUAACAUGUUGUAAGAUAGUCUAGGCAUACUAAAGUCACUGUUUAAAAUAGGUCACAUCAAGUAGCAGAGUAUGAAAAUGUCCAUCCUUAUAAACCAGGGAUGGCAAACUCAGGUGCCUCCUGGAACUAGAUUGGUUAAAAAUGAGUGAAGGAGGACAGGUAGCAAGAUUGUUCCUCGUUUGUCACCAUGAAGCAUCAGCAGAUUGUUGACUUGUGAAAAUAAAGGCAGAGGGUUGCCAUAUUUUCUUUUCUUUAUUUUCUUUUCAAGAUACAGCAGAUACCCCAUUUUAAUGUAAUUGUAUCAAUUUUUUAAAUUAGGCAACUAAUCAAAGAUUUUACAAACAGUGUGCAGUCUGUGUUUUGUACAUAGGCUGUCAGUUUGUGACCUCUAGAAACCCCAUCAAUUUGAAAGAUAAAUUUAGUCUUAUAUUAAAAACAAAGUGCACAGUGUUCUUAAUUCUGUGGUCAGUGGCCAACGGUCCAUUUCCUUUGGGAAAAAGUUUAUUUUUGAGUCCCAUGAUCCUCACUCUAAGCAAAAGACUGAAAGACUAUUUGGGUUGAUAAUUUACCCAACAGCAUAUUGAAAAAUGUUAAGUCGGAAGUCAGUUCCUCAUACUGUCUGGUAAAAUCUGCAGUGUUGGUGUGGACUAAAUCUAUAGUUUAAAAAAUGUUUUAUAGUUUAAAAAAUCAUGAGAAGGCCUGUUAGGUAAGAAUGCCCCCCACCCCAACACACACACACAAAUUCCAAUGACUUUAAAAUUACAAAAUUACAUUUUUGGUAUAUCUCUAUCUUAGCAACACUGUAUUCUUUUCCAUCUCUUUAAAAUGUGCCACAAUUAAAUACACAUAAAAUAAUCUUUUAUAUAUUUAUAUAUACUUGAGCCACCUUUCAACUUUUACUUCUCUAGAUUACAUAAUUCAGACUUCUUUAAUAUUUACAUAUAUCCUGUUUUAUAUAUUUUUAAAUGUGUUCUGUACUGUUGCCUAGACUAGACUGGUAUUGUUAAUAAUCAUACUAAAUGCCAAUGCAUUAUAUAACUGCUUUAUUACAUCUUAUAUAUUGUGUGUAUUUAUCUAGAUUAGAUUGCUUUUUACAAAUGGUUCUAUCCCAAAACAGCAUUAGUUUUUGAUUCUCACCCAGCUCUACGGCUUUUUGACACAUUUGUUUCUGCUGCUGGAGAUUGCUAGUCCAUUGUGUUAUUUCCCCAUAAAUGUAUAAAUGUAUACCGAUACUUUAUUUGAUUUUUAAAUUUAUAUUGAAGAUAUAACCUAUUGUUUUGAACUACAAUUAUGUCCAUUCCUGAGUUAGCCACACCAGCUAUCCCUGGUGUCAUGUCCUGUUUGAAAUUAAGUAUCAUGUGUUUUUCUUUAUUGAAGGCAGUUAGCUCGAGUGUUUAAGAAAUACUGGCCUCAUCCUUGGGGAACACUGUAGUAGGCUUCCUUGACAUUGAAUCAUUGGUAACUGUUCUUUCAUAGGCCCAAUUUGACCAUCUGAUUUAUGUUGUAUGUAUCUUAACAAUUGAGGGGGACUGACAUAACUGGAAGAAAAGUGCACAUAUUUUAAUGUUGGCAUCACCCAAAACAAGGACAUCUUUAGCUGCUAGAUUGAAAUUAUUUACAAUUUUGCACUUACUUUAUGGUACCAAGUACAAGUAUUCUAGUUACACUUGUGGUUUUAGAGAGUAUUUGCUGCUCAUUUGGAGUCUCAAAUGCAAAAUAUAACCCUGUAGCUAUUAUGUGGGUUUGCGACACUCCCAUGGGGACCUUGGGCUCAUAAACCAGCGAAUGGAUUAUAUAAUGCUGCAUAAAUGCUGUAUUUUUCAUCUGACAGACAUAAUCUUGAUCCUAUAUUUUUAUGUUGCCUAACUGCUUCAGAAUACCACUUUUGAAGCAACCCAUCAAAAUGGAAAUUGCUUCUAAAACAUGUAGCAAUAAAUAUUGGUCAAGGCUCUGUGUAAUUCAGAUUGACUCAAUACUUGAACACUACUCGAUUGAAAUUCUCUACUGUUUUUAAAUAAAAGGUUGAUAAUUUCCAUUUUAUGGUAUUGUUUGAUCCUUUUCUUUGUUAGGCAUAUAUUUACUUUGUUAAAAUUAAAAUUUUAUUUUCUGAUUGUCUAAGGCAUGCCUGAUAGUCAAUCAAGCAUUUCAGUAGGUAUAGAUAAAAUAUUGAGAACUUACAUUGAAAGUUAAACCACAUAUGGAUCAAGACAUAUAUGUGAUAUAGAUCAACAAAUAUAUGUGGUACCUAUGAAACCAGAUGAGCAUCACUUUCAAACUUGCAGUAUAGAGCUCUGUGUCUAACAUGUUAUCUGAAAGACUUGAUGCCAGAGCUAUGAUUUUGCUCCAGCCUCUCAUAAUCUCACUCUCUCUCUGUGUGUGUUUCUGUGUGUGUGUGUGUGUGUGUGUUCAUUUUUGUUUUUGAGAUAAGGUCUCAAUCCAUCAUCCAGGCUGGAGUGCAGUGGUACAAUCAUGGCUCACUGCAGCCUCGAUCUCCUAGGCUUAAGUGUUGCACCCACCUCAACCUACCAACUAGCUAGGACUACAGGUGUGUGCCACCACACCUGCUAAUUUUGUAUUUUUUCAAGAGAUAGGGUUUUGAACUGGCUGGUCUUGAACUCCUGGGCUCAAGGGAUCUGCUGGCUUUGGCUUUGCAAAGUGGUGGGAUUACAGGCAUGAGCCACUGCACCCAGCCUCAUUGUUGUAUAUUAUCCGAUGUGCUAUUUGCUUUACAAAUAAUUGUUAUACUCUGCUUGUCCUUUACCGAAAACAUGACCAAAAACUAUCUGAUAUUUACUAUCCAAUUUUGUUGAAUAAAAGAGGAAUCCAGAGUUGUUAACUUUGGCUUUAGGUUCUCCCUCUUGCGACCAACUUUGAAUUAUCUGGGCUGGGUAGUCCACAAACAAUGUGUUCAUGUUGUCUCCCUCUUACUCACAAGCCUUCUGUAGCUCCCAACAUUCACUGCAUGAAGUUUAAACUCCUCUUCUAAAACUAUGAUAACCUGGUCUCAUCUUCCAUCUAAACAGCGAUUUCUUUUUAACUUUCACAUAGAUAUACUGUACACACAUUUCUCGAUUUUUGCCUUUGUCUAUUCAUUCCAGUCUGUCAUUUUCUAGUGCCAAUAUUAAGGAUCAUUUUAUGAUCUUACAUGUAACUGUUUUAGACUGCUGAUCUCCUUCACUUCUAAUCUUUUCCACCACUUUAUCUGUAACAUUCAAUAUAGCUCUCAAUUAGAUUAUGUCUUCAUUUUGUUUGCUAUUUUAUAAUGUGAUUGUCAGACCUAGGACCAUGUCUUCAAUUCCUGAGUUCCCACAUUCUGAGCACACGAUAGGUCUCAUUGGAUACUCAUUUCACUGGUGAUGGAUCUCCUGGCUCUUUUACACAGAGUAUCUUUUAUAAGCAGGCAUUGCCAUAAAGACAUUAGUUUUAAAAUUCUUCACUUCAGUAAAGAGUGAAUGCCGUAUAUAUACAUGUAUCUUCUUUGUGAGGUGAAUUGUGUGCUUUGGUAUUUUCUGGCAAGUUUUGUCAAUGGAGACUAGUAAAAUAAAUCCUUAGAGAUUUACUGAACAUUUAUUUUGUGACGUAUAGUUGACGUGUAAUACAGUUUUUACUGAGAGUUAAUACCUCACUUUGUAAAGCAUCUGUAUACUAACUCCUGGCUUAACUGUCAGGGAUGAUGCCUUUUUGUGGUCCUUUGUUUAGGAAUGUUGGUCUUUGUGACCCAAGAUAUGUGAGGACAUUCAUUCUUGAUUUAACUUUGCAUGUUACUGUUCAUUUUUAUUUCUACUUUGAAAAACAGGAAUUUUACUAAAAACAGAUUAUGAAAAAUGAAUUAGCAUUAGGAUAAAAAAUAUAUACUUUAAAAUUUAAGUUUGCAUUGUUAGUUGCCAUGCAAAACAUCUUGUUCCCUAGGUAAACGUGUACUUAAUCAAAUGGCAAGUAGAAUAAAAUGUAAACUAAUUGCCUCUGUGACUAAAUUCUCUAUUCUUGACUGUCUUCCUCAAGAGUAAUUCUUUCAUGUGAAGUCAGUUGACCAGUCUCAGUUACCUCAUUUUGGAGUGAAGUCUAGUACUCUGAAAAGGGAAAGAUAAAUUAUUCUUUGGGGAGCAAUGCAGUUUACUAAGCUGUGUAUGAGGCCUGAGGUCAGGUGACCCGACUCUGUUCAAAUUGUCAAAGGCAAGUGUCAAUUGACAGUGUGUUCUGCUCUCUAAACUAGCACUCAAAGCCUAGUGGUUGAGCUUUCUGUUACCAUUUCUUCUCCACUGCUCUGGAGAAAGGUUUUGUUUGUCUUGCUGGCUACUGCUAGUACCCAUUUAAAAAGUUUAGACACAAUUCCUUCAAUAUUAUAUCUAGAAAAAUCUAGGGUGGUCUUGGAGGGCACAGGAGAAGAAGUUAGUGAUCCCCUGACACAGUUUUAUGGCUUUGAAUACCAUUCUGUUUCUUUUCUCCUCUAACUCUUCCAAAUGCCUCUGAGAAUCAUGAUAUGAACUUUAUCAUUUUGAUAAUACCAAAAGAGAUGUCUCUGGAAGCAUGUAGCUGUGCAUGUAUGUGUGUGUGUGUGUGUGUGUGUACACAAUCUCACACAUACAUCAUAAUAUAAAAUGUGUUAAUAUUAAGUAAUGACUGAUUAUUUUAAAUAAUAACACUCUUUACAAAUACAUACGUCUUCUGCCCUUCAAAGCACACUUGGCCUCCUGCUUGGAAAGUGCUUUCUGUCUAAUAGCACUUUCUUCUGAUCAUCUUUAAUUUUGGCAACACUUAUCACUUUAAAAAGAAUAUAUAUAUAUGUGUGUGUGUGUGUGUGUAUGUGUAUAUAUAUAUAUACACAUACAUACAUAAACACAGGUAUAUGAUUUGGGAAAAUAGCUAAAUGUCACUGGGAGCCAGGCCUAGUAAAUGAGAUACUGUUAGAAUUGAUUCAAUAAAAUUGAUAAUAUUUGGUCUCAAAACCAAAUUGUAAGUAUAAAAUAAAACUAGUGUGCUUGUGUGUUCCUAACUAGGACUAUAUGUGUAAUGUGAUAAUCUACAUAAGGCAGUUUCGCCCACACUUCUCACUUCUUUACCGUUCCCAACUCUGCUUUAUAUAGCAAUGAAACUUCAGGUAUGUUGUUGCACUGCUCAUCAAAGUACCACUUUUAGAAGAUUGUACUUGAAGAGUUUUUAAAUAGCACUAGAAAGACUCUGCCAUGCCACAGAAAAGCUUUUCGCCACAUUAAGUGUACAUUUAAUCAACAUUAUGGCAAUUAUAGCUCUACUAGAAGUCCUUCACCCUCUGUUUUGUGGCGAGAACUUUGUCUAGGAUAAAACUGUCAUGAGUAGAGGUAAUUUAAAAUUCAUCCUCCUUUUAUUUAUGUCAGAAUAUGACAGGGUGGGAUGAUGGAUACCCAUCUUUUUCUAAUUGUAGCAAUCUAUUCUAAACUUCAAAGAUAACUUGUUAGAAUUCUCAUUAUUUAAAAAAAUGUUAUGACACCAUUUCUCAGUCAUUGCUUUUGUACUAUUUCAAUAAUCUCCUUGGAUAUACUGAUUGAGAAACUGUUAUAAGGCUUACUGCGAAAUUGACGAAGUCCAAAUUUGAUGACUGUCCCAAAUAGUUUUGUGCCUUUGAUAGAUUUUACAUGUGUUUUUUUCUAUAAAUCUGCCUUUAAAAAUUUAUUGUUGUCUUCAGAUGUUUUCAUGAUAUGUUCACUUAGUAGUUUAUGCCACAUGUCUUUAAUGCAGUUCUAGAAACCCAUUGCUGAGAAAGUGAAGUUCUCUUUCAAUAUCCAUAAUGAAAGUCAGUUUACUGGCGAGCACACCUGGGUUUGGCUUCCUAGUUAUUCCUCCAGUAACACUGUAUUGCAUGUCUUAGGAAAAACUAUUUGAUGAGCUUAGAUUUACAAAUUAAAGUAUUCUUCCACUUACUUCAGAUAACGAUACUGCAAGAUCGUUAAUAUUGACCUAGAAGAAGUCUGGCUCAGCCUUCUGAUUGAUGAGCUGUGGUGGCUGUGAAUGCUAACAUAACCUUAAUCUAAAAUCAUGAGCCUCUACCAAGGGAGGUAGUAGUUCCUCUGAAUGCUACACAGAUCAUGUCACUUUUGAAGUCAUGGUUUUUGUCUUGGACUGCCUAUGCCCUAAGGGGAACACGGCCAAACAUGUAUUUAUCUAGAAGAUGUCAGAAAAAGUGAUUGAUCUGAAAAACUUCUGUCUGAGAGAUUAUUAAAGUAACUUGGAAAGUUGUUUUGGAAAUAGGAAGAAAGACCCCAAGGAAGAUAUUUUCACAGUUUUUCUUUAUCUGAAGAGCUGUUGCCAACUCAUCACAAAAGGGUAGAACAAGGAGUACAGAUUAAUUUGAAAAAUAUUUCUGAUUCUGAAUUCAAAGUCUAAUUGUAAAAAAGAAGAUAGCAAUGAGAGAGUAUAGUCCCAUACCUAGCUAAGUAAAUGAAACUGUUAGGUGUUUAUGGAAUAGGAAAUAUGACUCUUCUAGUCAUCAUGGACCCAACCUUAAAGAAAGUUACAGUUCACUGGGUGCGGUAGCUCACGCCUAUAAUCCCAGCACUUUGGGAGGCUGAAGCGGGUGAAUCACGAGGUCAGUAGCUCGAGACCAGCCUGGCCAACAUGGUAAAACCUUGUCUCUACUAAAAAUACAAAAAAAAAAAAAAAAAAAUAGCCAGGCAUGGUGGCUCCCGCCUUAAUCCCAGCUACUCGGGAGGCUGAGGCAGGAGAAUUGCUUGAACCUGGGAGGCGGAGGUUGCAGUGAGCCGAGAUCACGCCAGUGCACUCCAGCCUGGGCAACAAGAGCAAGAUUCCGUCUCAGAAAGAAGAAGAAAAAAAGGAAACUGACAGUUCAAUAAUGAAAAUACGCAUUUUCAUAGCUCUAAUAAAAGUAGAAAAGAAUGUUUUUAACUAGAUUUUACUGAUAAAGCCCUGUGGUUCAUAGAGGAGAAAGUGAUCACUUUGAGUGAUAAACAUCUACCUCUCCCUCUGAAAGCCUAAAGUGGGGACAUGUACCUGAAAACUAGAUUGUGUGCUUGAAAGAGAAUGUAGACAACCAAGCUAGGGAAGAAAAGACCUGAGACCUAAUGGGUUAAAUUCUAUCCUUGGGACUUGGACGUGUUACCUGACUUCUGGGUCUCCAUUUCCUCAUCCAGGAAUACAAAAUUAGACUAUCUGUUAUGAUCAAAUAAUAGAACUAUUGUUAGAAUCCAGCUUGAUAAUAUUUGUAGAGGAUUUUAAAAAUGCAAAAAGGCUAUGCAAAUAUUAGGGACUGCUGUGACUUAAAAUUUCAUCUAGCUUGCUUUUGCUAUGUUUAGGCAGAGUAAAGGCUGAACUUCUCUUGACUUUUUGUAGUACCUUUAUAGAGACUAAAUAGUAUUUCAAGAUAGGAAUGACUGAAUAAUAUAUUGUUUACAAGUCUCUAAAGUGUGUGUGUGUGUGUGUAAAGAUAAUUUUUGGACAAACAUCAUAAUGAUCCUGUAAUAAUGAUCUAUGAUAAAGAAAAACUCUUGAAGUAUAGCAUUUACACAUAAACUUAAAAACACACAUUUCUCAUUAGUGGAGAUUUUAUCAUUGAUUUUCAACAUUGGAAAAACACAGAGAUUGUUUUCUUUGCAAAUCCCAUAGAGAUAUGUUGACAGGAUGAUACAGGAAAAAUCAUAUUAUGUAUAACUUUGUAGUAACAUGAUUGGUGUUUAAUAUUAAGCAGAGUAUGAAAAAAAACAACCUUAAUAAAAAAUUAGCUAGACCAUAAAAGCAUCAGAAGAUAGUUCAUUAAAACAUGUUCUCUAGGCCUGCCAUUACUCCCUGCCCUUCUAUUUCAGUGGUUCUCAACCUUGGCCGCACAUUAGAAUUACCUGGGGAGCUUUAAAAAUCUCACUGCCCAGGCUGCACCCCUAACCAAUUAAUUCAGAGUCUCCAGGGGGUGAGAACCAGUUAUCAGUAUUUUUUAAAGCUCCCCAGGCAAUUCCAAUGUGCACCUAGUUUGAGAUCUACUUCCCAUAUCUAUCUGUAGUACCAUAUUGGAUUUACAAAUUGGAAUGCUAUUUUUGACUCCUUCUUUGUCUCCUUUCUCUCCGUUUAAUCUUACCAAGUUCUGCAGAUUCUCCCUCUGCUGUAUUGGUUUGACCCUUCCUAUCCCCAGUAAUGCUAGCCUAGCCCAGGCCUUUAUAGCUUAAUAUCUAGUUUUCUUCUUCUAGUCCCUCUUAAAUGGUGUUACCAGACACUUUCGAACAACAAUCUUUGAAACAACAAUUUUGUCAUUUCACUUAAGAACCUAUACUGUUUUAGCAUCCUAAAAUUCAGGAUUUUUGUAAUCAAACUCUAUUUACAAAACUAAUCUUCUGAUAUCUUAUAUUUCCUAUUGCAACACUUUACGAGUAGAAGAGAAUUGAGGAUUCAGGAAGGUGAAUUCUUUUAAAAACUAUUUCACUUGUAAUCCUGGGGGCUUUGAGGCAUGGGCUGGGGAGGAAAAGGGAGAAAGAUGUUCAACAAAAGGCAUAUCCAGGCUAUCUUUUCCUCCAACCCAUAUGUCUCCCUUUAGCCAGACCAAAUCCAGUCUGGUUUCUUAAUAUAUUUGGGUUGUGCUUAAGAUUUCAUUAGAACAGAAAAGAGUUUCACUGCUAAAAGAAAAAAAGAAGAAGAAGAAACUUUGACAACCCCUGGUGGCUAAUCCUCUCAUUUCACAAGGGAGGAAACUAAGGCUCAAAGAGGUUAAGUGACUCAUCCAAAGUCAUAUAGCUAAAAUGUGCCCUUUGUUCCUGCUAGCAUAGUCUCUUCACUUUCUCUGAAAAGUAAGAAGAAAUGUCAUGCUAGCACUUGACACAAGGCCCUAUACGUACAGGUGUUCAGCAAAUAUUUGUUGAAUGAACACUUGAAUGAAUGCUAUUUCAUAUUUCUGUUUCUGUUCACAUUGUUACUGUAACAAGAAUGCCUUUUUAAAAAAUUCUCACUUUCACCUAUAAAAGCAAUCAUUCAAUGCAGGUCUCAUCCUACUUCUGCCUCAAAGUCUCUCCUUAUAAGCCAUGACUGUAAAGGUAAUUUAUUUGAUUAUAUUUAAACCAUUUUAAACUGUCCUGUUCUGUAAUUAUUUUCUGGAUGUGUCUUUUCUCCAUAACAAGAUUGCAUGUCUGUUCCUUGAAGUGCAUGACUUUUGCCACGUACUCCUCCUUUUAUAUCUCCUCCAGCAUAGACAAAGCUUAAUAAAUACUUGUUGUGUUGGAUUACUGGAUUGCCUGCGGCUAUAGACUGUUAUUUUAUGCUCCUGCUAAUAGUAAUUAAAACUCACUAGAAUCAAAUAUCAUAUCCCAAAAUAUGAAGUUGAAUUUGUACUCAGUUUAUGAAAUGCUCUUUUGUUAGAGAAUGAAACAAAUGGGAUUUUUAUAUCCUCAAAUUCCUUUCCCAUUAGAAUAAACUCACGUUAUUUUCAUUUUAACCUCUGUUUUGUUUUGUUUUGUUUGUUUGUUUGUUUGUUUUAACAAAAGAUUGCAACAGGAAAAGAAAGUAGAUUAAAUAAUUUGGUGUCUGCCAGAAUUUUUGUCCUGAGGUCUCUGAGUAUUCGCAGUCUUGGUCUCUUAGCACAUCAGCCCCUGAAAGCAAGGCCAAACUGCAACUUCAUGAGAAAUACACUUGGGAUAUGUCCAAUCCGGUGUGAGCCAACUCACACUUGCCUUCCUUAUUCGAAGCCACAUUUCCUGGCUGGACUAGUGAGAAUUGUCUUUUGAAGAAAAAAGAGUGUUUCUGGAUUGUUUUCAGGCCCUUUUAUUCACAGCAGUCAUUCUAGCAUUCUCCACAGAGUUCUUCAUAAGCCAGUAGGAAAAGCGAUUCCAUCGUUUUCCCUGGAAAAGUAUUCAAAUGCAUGAUUUGUCCCUUGGAAACUUACUUUGAUGAACUUCCCAGUGAAUGUCCACACUCUUUCUUAAAGUUUUACACAUACACAGACACAAAGAUAUUUGAAAACAUAUUUGCCCUUCAUCGUGCUUCAAAAUCGUGCCAGGCGUGCAGUCAUCAUGUGUUCCUUUGCCUUGUAUGUAUUUCUGUCUUAAGGAGUCACUUUUAUCUUUUUAAGAGAUGGGGUCUCAUUAUGCUGCCCAGGCUGAUCUUGAACAUCUGGACUCAAGGGAUCCUCCUGCCUCAGCCUCUCAUAGUGCUGGGAUUAUAAUUAUGAGCCACUGUUCAUGGCCACCAGGAGUCACAUUUUUAAAAAGAUAAAUAUAUAUACAAUAUUGUCAAAAGUAGAGAGAAAAGUUGUGGUGUCAUUUGGAACCUAUUUCUUCCUCUGUAAAGGGGCUACAUGAACUCCAAGGACCAUUCCAGCCUAUGCAUUAAGCAAGCAGUUUAAUGAAGCGUUUCAAAUCCUUAGUAUUAUUUGCUUUAGUAUAGGAUUCUUUCCAUUCAUUCACUCACAUUCAGGUAUUUGUUCAUUCAACAACUAUUUAUUGACCCCUCCUCAGAAAAGCAAUAAAACACUUAAGAAAAUGGCCCUAGAUUUCGACUUGUAUUUGAAUUCUAAAAUUUAAUUGAUAUGUGAACAUGGGCAAGUUACUUAACUUCUCUGCAUUUCAAUUUUCUGUGAAGUGAUCGUAAUAACAGCACUAUUGCUUAAGGUCAUUGUGAGGAAUAUAUAAUUCCUAUUAGUACCUUAGCAUAGUGUCUGGCACAUGCCAUAUGUUCAAAUAAUAUGUUACUAUUAUAGCUUAUUCUCUGCUAGACAGGCUGAUAAGGAUACCAGAACUAAUAAGGCAUUUUUUUUUUCUUUCUGUUAGGGAGCUCAGAAUCUAAUGAAAAGGGAACAUAUAUGUAGGUAUAAUUUUACUAUAUAACAAGUACUAUAAUAGAGUUAUAUACAGUGGACUCCGGGAGCCCCAAAGAGGCUGCAUGAAGCUCUGGGGAGGGGGAAGAUUGGGGGGAAGCACAGAGAGGCGAUGGUUUAUCUGACCUCUGAAGAAUAUGUAGGUAGCUGCCAAAUUAUAGGACGGAAGGUAAAAAGAAGAAUGAGCAAGCAGCAUGAACAAAAGGAUGGAAGCACUAAUUCUAGAAGAGCAAAUCAAUUCACAGGCUUCCAGGUGAGGGGGUGAUGGCAGAUGAGAUGGGGCUUGUCGUGGUGUCAGCCUGAUCCCUUGGCUGUUCUCCCAUGACUUGCUAACCUACUGCUACAGAGAAUUGAGGCUGUCUCAGAAAAGGAGUCCAGAGGUAGUUGGCUGUAGUGAGGAAGUAAGAUUUUGUGCUUGGUUUGCGGUGCCACAAGAAGAUGUAUACCAUGAUAGCAAGAAUCAUAAAAGGGGAUGUAUUCCAGAAGAAGGUAGAAGAGAAAUGGUCUGGAAAGACUGGGUAGAGGACAAAAGGAGCCAGAUGAUAUGUUAUGUUAAAGGAGACUCUGAAGGCUUAAUUUUGGAGAUAAACUGUUAAUUUUAAUGUGUACACCCAAUACUGUCUUUGUAUGCCUACAUAGUCCCUGUUGUAUCUAAAAGAUCACACCAUUUUAGAAAAAUGUUCUUGGAACUUUAGGGACUAGUUCCCUUUGAGUAAACAUGCUUUAGAUGAAAUGAAGAGGCAGUGCGUAGUGCAAUCAUUCCACGCUUUAUGUCCUAGACUUACAGUAGCUAGAUUCUGGAAUUGACUCUUCUGCUAACAAACUUCAUGACAUUUGGUAAGUAUUGAGUUUCAUAUUUCUCACUUAUCAAAGAAAGUGCAUGUACCAGACAAUGUGGAAGUUGAUUCCAGUUCUUAAGUUCUACUAUUCACAGUUUGUAAUAUAUAAGUUGAUUUUUUUUAAGAUAAGUUAGAACUUUCACUAGAUGUAGAAACUGAAACAGAUUAUAGAGGACAAUUAGCAUAUUUUUAAAGACAUGGAGCCAUUUUAAGAAGAGUGGAAAAAUAGUAUCUUAAAUCAUGUGCAAUGAAAGCAAGGAACCAAGGAAAAUUGAACCUUUAAACCUCCCUGCUUCUCAUAUAAACACUCAAUAACAAGGAAAUGUUGGCUUAAGAAAUCCAACUAUUAUAGAAAGAAGAUGGAAAGUUAGACCAGGAUUAGGAAGGCAAUGCUUGACUAAAGCUGGUAUACUUUAAAAAGUAGGAUCCACAGUUAGCUCAAAUAGUGUACAUUUUUUUUUUUUUGAGACGGAGUCUCGCAGUGUCGCCCAGGCUGCAGUGCAGUGGCGUGAUCUCUGCUCACUGCAAGCUCUGCCUCCCAGGUUCACACCAUUCUCCUGCCUCAGCCUCCCAAGUAACUGGGAAUACAGGCGCCCGCCACCAUGCCUGGCUAAUUUUUUGUAUUUUUUUUAGCAGAGACGGGGUUUCACCAUGUUACCCACGAUGGUCUUGAUCUCCUGACCUCGUGAUCUGCCCGCCUCGGCCUCCCAAAGUGCUGGGAUUACAGGUGUGAGUCGCCACGCCCAGCCUCAAAUAGUGUGCAUUCUAAGAUUCAUUAUAACUCCCAGACUUUAAGAGCCAGUAACUGAUUUGUAGAUCCAACAAGGAUCAGAGAUACUUAAUAUUUAUAAUGAUCAACUUCAACGUAUAAGAAUGCAGUAACACAAUUAUUCAAUUGCCAUUGCACUGGUAUAGAGUAACUCAAAUUACUAAGUAGCCAAAGACUAGUUUUUGAAGAAUAAAUUACUCCAGAUAAAUUUAAUUUUCAUUAAUGAUAAAAUCAUAGACCACUUAUUGUAUAUGUGUGUGAGUGGGGUAGUAGGAGGAAAGUAAAAGGUAUCUCAAAUCUCACAUGAUUUCUUCAAUGAACUGGACAUAAAACUGAGGUUGUAUUAUUGUUGGGUUGAUUCUUACUAGGGAAUGGCUAACACCUCAUAGGUAGUUACCCAUGAGUUACUUGCAUCUAGAAGACUAUCCCAAGGAUAUCUUCCAUGGCCCAGAGUGACUGGUGUUAUUUGUAAAGGUCUCUGUCAUGGAAUGCUUACCAGGAUUUUGGUGAAAUAUCAUCUGUUUUAUCUUAAAAUUAUUUUUAUUCUUAUUUCCUCAAGUAUUAGUGACUCAAUUGUAAAUUUGCUCAACCCCAAUAGUUCUAAUUAAAAGCAAGUUAACAAGAAAGUCUGGAAAGCUCUCAUAGUUUAGAGGAGCUUAAGAUGACAUGUUGGUCAGGCGUGGUGGCUCACACCUAUAAUCCCAGCACUUUGGAUGGCCAAGGUGGGCAGAUCACUUGAGGUCAGGAGUUUGAGAUCAGCCUGGCCAACAUGUUGAAAACCCGUCUCUACUAAAAAUACAAAAAUUAGCUGGGCGUGAUGGCAGGCACCUGUAAUCCCAGCUACUCGGGAGGCUGAGGCGGGAGAAUCAGUUGAACGUGGGAGGUGGAGGUUGCAGUGAGCCAAGAUCGCACCACUGCACUCCAGCCUGGGUGACAGAGCGAGACUGCAUCUCACAAAAGAAAAAAGAAAAAAAAAGACAUGUCAACUUAAAGCACUGUGGUAUUCUGGAUGAGAUGAUUCUGGGACAGAAAAGGAAUACUGGGUAACAACUAAGGAAAUUCGAAUAAAAUAUUAACUUUAGUUGACAAUAGUGUAUUGGUAUUGGUUCAUUGGUUGUGCUAAUGCACCAUAUUGAAGUAAUGUAAGAUGUUAAAAAUAGAGGGAAUUGGGUGUAGGAUAUAUAGCAACUCUACUAUCUUUUCAGCUUUUCUCAAAAUUUAAAACUAUUCUUAAAAGGUCACUCUCCUUCCUCCUCUUCCACACAACCCCAUUGCGUUAUUCAGUAUAUAUUGCAUCUUAUUUUGGCUUCACAUAUCUAGAAAGUUGAGGAAUAUGGAAAAGAGCAGGGAAAGUAAAAGAUAGGAAAGGUUAAAAUGUCUAAGUGACUUAAAGUUACCUAGCUCAACAAAGACAACAGUGUCAGGCUUUCUGAAAAUUGUUUCAAAAGGCUUUCACAAGUAUGUCACUGAGUAGAACACAAAACAAAAGAAAAUGAUUUUGAAUAAAAAAAGAGAAUUUAAUUUGAAAGAAUCCUUUUUUAAAUAAGAAGUUAUUUUAAUAUCAGAAUAGCCUAAUAAAAGUAAAGGAAAAUGUAGGAAAUCAUGUUUUAAAAAAGAUUAGCUUCUCUGCUGUCCAGCAUAGUAGCCACUAGCCUCAUGUGGCUAUUUAAAUUUGUUUAAAUUAAUAAAAUAAAAGAUUCAGUUCCUAAUUUGCAGUAGCCACAUUUCAAGUACUCACUAGACACAUGUGGCCAGUGGCUGCUAUAUUGGACAGAACAAAUGUAGACAGACCAUUUACACCAUUGCAGCCCUGAAUUCUGUGCUAAUUGAGAAGUCAGUGGGGUUAAGGUAUUUGGGAUAAAAUUGUUCAUAUUUGCUUGGAUGUUAUGGGUAGUUAUGUUUACCUAUUUGCAUGUCUUGCUUAGGAAUCCACAGAAACCCAAAUGAAACUUUGAAACAGUAGAGCUUCCUAUUUUACACCUUUUAUUUCCUAUUCCAUGCAGGGAAUAAGCCAUAUCAUCUUUCAGAUAGAUAAAAUCUGGCAGAGCCAUGCCCAUUCUGCAAACUUGAUGGUUCACAUCCUUCUUGAGACAGAUUGUUUGGCUUAAAGUACACGUGCAAGAGUCAACAAGGAUAUUGUUGCUGUCAACAAAGUUUAGCACAUAAGCAGAGUGGGUGACACUGUGAGAGUUUGAAAGCUAUCCCUCCCUCCUUUCAUUGAAAUAUAUUAUCCCUUGGGUAUGUACAUGUUAUCAGUUACUGCCUUUAUUAAUAUUUCCUUGCAUACAUAUUUUGAGUGCUAAUUCUUUUUUGUAUUAUAAACUAUGGAAUUUCCAUUUCUGAAUAUCCUCUAAAUUGUGAUGAGGUACAUAUCUUGGAUAGUACAGGUAAAGGGCUCUCAAAAGGAUGACUUCAGGUACUGUUCAGAUAUGUUUCAGGCUAACAGAUGACUUUGGCUAUCUGUGUAAAUAAAAUUGGGUAUUUGAGUUUUAAGACAAACUUAACCACAGAGCUGAUAUUUAUCAGCUUCAAAAUAUGAACUGAAAUACUUUUCAAGUUUUCUGAUAGUUGUUACAAAAUGACAUUUAUUAUUUUAAUAUUCUUGGUCACACAUUUCACUUUUACUUUAGAUGCUUUUUAGAAUUCAGAGGUAUGGUUUAGAUUAGUAUAAAACUAUGUUUCUCAGAUUCGGGUGCACAGACUCUAGUUAUAUAUAUAUAUAUAUAUAUAUAUAUAUAUAUAUAUAUAUAUAUAUAUUCCAGGAAUCCAUGAGAUGUUUUAAUUAUAUAUUUUCAUUUUAGUGAAUUAAAAUACAUUUUGUACGAAUAAACAUAAAAGUUUUCUUUGAUAGAGAAAUUUCCAAUUAAAAACACUUUUUAUAGAAGAACUCUAAUUUUUUAAAACAUUGUUUUUCCAUCUAGGCACUGGGUCUGUAACUAGUAUUAGUUUCAAAAUAAUUUUUCCUUUGAAAAUGAAUUUAUAGAUUACUCAAGUUUCAGAAACAUUAUGUAAUGAAUUUAAGCAAAAAAAGGAAUUCAUAUGUGUACUCCACAGCAUGCCUUAUUUACGGAUUCAGACUUAAGUCUUCUAUUAUUGUAAAUGGCAAUUUGAUUCCACACUGGCAUUGAGGAUUAAAAUAAUUAAAAAUAAAUUGACAACUACAUUUCUAAAUACUGAAGUCACAAUGAUCUUGUAGGCCAUGCUUGUUGAUACCCUUUCAUUUUGUACAAAACACCCCACCCCUCCCUCCAGCUCUCCCAGGUAUUUGCUUUGCGGUACAAGAUUCCUGUGCCACUGAGGCAUUUUGGUAAAAGGAGCCUUAAGUGAAUAUUUUAAAAUUAUAUAUAUAUUAUAUAUGAUGUAUAUAUAUUAUAUAUGAUGAAUCCUACUCAUCUUCUGUCCUCCCACAUAAAAGUGCAGUGUUUCCAUACAAUUGAAAAGAAGAGGCUGACAUGCUUGUACAAAAAAAAAAAAAAAAAAAAAAAGAAAGAAAGAAAAGAAAAGACAUUCAAGUAAAGGGACUUGGCAAGUAGAAAAAGAAUUAUGCUAGAAACACAAGGGCUGGGCAUGCGCACAUGCAGAUAUCUGGAUCAAGAAGCUCUGAGUCUGGGUCAGCGAUUCUCAAGCUUUGCAUGCAUUAGAGUCACCCAGAAGACUUGUUAAAGUACAGAUUGUUGGGCUACAACCCAGAAUUUCUGAUUCAGUAGAUCUCUAGGGCUCUGAAUUUGCAUUUCUAACAGUUUCCCCAGUGAUGCUGUUGCUGCUGGUCCAGGGACUACACUUUAAGAAUCACUAGUCUGUGAUAAGAAAUUCUAGAUUCUGAGUAGUUAGGGCCACAGUUUUUUCCUAUGUGUGUGAUGUCACGUAUUCCAGGUUGUUACAGACAUGAUCUGUGUGUCAGAUCUUGCAAAACAAGAACAAAAACAAUAUACUCUCUUGAUUAAACAGAGCAAUUAAAAACAAGGGACAUGGAAGAAGUGACAAGAAAAGGGGGAAAUUAGAGUUUAUCCAGGCCCUAUUACAUCCACUUCUGUUAAUAUUACUUCAAAUCUUUUGGAUCAAUAAGAAGAAACUAUGUUAACUCAAAUGUGGCAUGGAAAAAAUCCAUUGUCUGUACAUUACAUAAUUUUCUAAGAUUUCAUCUAAAUACUUUCAUAGAUAAAGACUUAAAUGUGAACAGGUUUUAGAAGUAUUCCUAAAGGGUCAUAUUUAGAUGUUACUUUAAAUUUGUCAGAGCUAGUAGAUUCUAAUCAAAGGUUCAAGUUCCACCUAUGAGCUAACCAUACUUCUUCUCAGAAAGCCAUUUAAAUACUCAAUGCCUCACCUUUUCUGUGGGAAAAAAAGUCAUUGAACUCUUACUAUUUUUUUUUUGUCAAGAAUGUUGUAAAGAGCAACCAUACAUGUGAUGAUCAUGCAAUUCUUUGGAGGAAGAAGGCACUAAAGAAAUCCAAAAACUGCAUUAUUAUUUUCAAAGAUUUAGUUGCCUAUAGAAUUCCUCACUCCUACUUCAAGAUUUGCUUAUAUAAAAAAUUAAAUUUGCUUCCACUUUAUGGUAUCCUUCAAAAUAUUUUCACCACAGCCCCCAAAUCAUUUCAGUUUUGUGAAAUUAAAUGAUUGCCUACAUUACUGUAAGUCUGAGUUAAAUUUGCCAUUUUAAUUUCAGUGUGUCUUCUUGAAGACAGUUAAUAUAAUUGGCAGUGCAAGACUGAAAACAGCUUUAGACCAGAAUUAUCUUUGUCCAUGUUUUUCUCUAUAUAAAACUCUUCAGGCUGGGAAUCCCAGCAAUAGCAUUUCUAGAAAGCUGCAAAUAGUGACGAAGUCAUGAAAUAGGGCAUUAGCUCAGAAGCAGAUCUCUACAUUAGAAAAGCGUAAUUCAUUUGUGUAAAACAAAACACAACAAAAACUGUAAAACACACACGCACGCACACACGCACAUUCAGCUGGCACAAAACAUAAGUAUGGAAAGCUCCUCCCUCCCACCUGCCUGCAAGAGAUACUAAAUUGGAGUUAGUAAAACUAAAUUCAUCAAUCUUUUCAGGUAACUUCCAAUUACAUGUAUAGUAUCAUGUAAGGGAGGUGAGUACUGAGAGAGAAGUGAGAAAACCAGGGUUCUGAUUUUGUGUAUAAUAGCUGCAUUCAGCCAUUCAUUUUAUAAUGAUGCCAAGUGCCAGAUAAGGAUAAUGAUGAGAAUUUUAUUAAUAAAUGUUAGCUAUGUAACAGACACUAUUUGAUCACAUUACAUGUAUUAUUUCAUUAUCCAACACUUUAUUAGAUAUUCAUAUCAUUUUAAGAGGUGAGGAAACUGAGAUAUUACCUGUAAUACAUGUUCACCUUUAAGUCUUUAUUUUUAAAGCCUAACCUGUUUCCUCACCUGAGGCUUCUGCCCCAAGCCAGGUCUGUCUGACUCCAGACACUGAGCUCCAAAUGGCUGUGCUCUAUUACCACCACACUACACUGUGUAGGGCCAUGAAAAUACACUGAAGAACAAAACAGACCCCGUCCCUGCCCCAGAGAGCAUAUAGUUUUAAUCCAUCUGAGCUUCCGUUUUCUUCUUGCAAGGUGGGAUAAGUUAUGGCACAGUAUGGCUUCAUUACUAGAUCUUUCAUAAAUCCCAGUCAAUUAAAUGAAGGUAUUAAUGAAACUAGCAUAUGUAAUUGGCAGAGUAAUUUUUGUAUGUCUCUUCUCCUUGGGAAAUGCAUAGUAAUCUUGGAAAGUUCACUGAACUUGAGCAUUGUACACUGAAAUCUUGGAAUAAGGCACCAUCUAGGAUAAAACAAAAACAGAAAAAUUGACUAUGUUUAUAUUCUUGGCUUAAAAAUUUUGCCUUGUCCAGAAGAGAAUCAGCUGUCAGAUUCAACUUACUACAGGAAACAGUAAAAAUGAAACCUGUUUCUAUAGCUUUCUUCCCUCAGGGACCCAGUGUCUCGCAAGUAUGUUUCCAUUUGAAGAAAUCCUCAAAUGAAUCCCACAUCUCAAGGUAGGUGUUUAUUUACACUUUGCAGAUCCAAUUCCAAGGCUCCACAUUUAGGGCAAGUUAAUUUUAAAAGCUUCCUACUGGCAUCCCUUCUAAAUAAGGGAUGUCUUUUUAUUUUGAAUAAUAUUUUUCUGUCGUAAGCUGCUCAGUUCCUAUCCUCACACACAUACUUACAUUUUCUGAUCAGAAAGUCUAACGAGAUAUGCACUGGCAUUAAAGAUACAUCAAUAAUGUAAAAUGUAACUUUUUGGUCCCCUAUUGCACUUCACUAUAUCUCUUUCCUCUUUGGAAAGUUACAGAAAUGGCCAUUUAAAGAAAUUAAGGUAAAAUACAUCUCAUUCAAAUAAAUGUGCAAAAUAAGAGAGAGUAAGUCAGAGUGUGCAUGUGUGUCUUUACAGUUUUCUCAAAAGACACUGAACUAAGGACUCUGCACCCAGGAGAGAAAAUAUACAUAUGACUCUAUGAACAACAGAAGAGUUUAAAGUUAACUUCUAAACAUCAUCGUGGCUUUUUUUUCUUGUUAUUGUUGUGGCUGUUUUGUUAUGCUGGCUGCCAGAAUCAUGGAAUUGAAGCAUGGAAUCGGCACUUUGUUUUUCACAUAGUAGAUUUUUCCUUGAAUUUCUGUGAGAUCAUCUAUGGAUUCCUCCUCAAUAAAUCAUUCUGCAAAUAUCUGUGAAGCACCUAUUGUGUGCAGAGCACUGUACUAAAGCCCUUCAGUAGCAUUGGAGGAGUCUAAUUGGAGGAGACAGAAAAUGUAACUAAGGCAUGAAAGCCUUUCUCAUAGAUUCUUAAUAGGGGCACUUCAUCCUAUAAACAUGUGCCCCAACCUCAUCCUUUAGUCUCCUAGCUUUCUGAAGCUUAUAUCAUAGAGUUACACAAUAUACCCAGUUUCCUCAGUAAAUCUUAGCAAGGAAAUCAAGGAUUCUUCUUUUAACAAAAUCAACGAAGUAGUUUUUUUUUUUUUUUAGAGCCAUUGAAAUAACUUGUUAUCUAAUUGUCAAAUAGUUUUCUAAUUCUACAUUGUGAUUGAAGAAUGAGGGGAAAAAAUGGACAGAGGAGAGGCAGAUAGCUCUGACCUGGGAACUAACACAAUAGAUCUUGAGAAACUUCAAAGUAAAACAAUUAUCUCAGCAACAGGGAUGAUUUGGCAUCCCUUUGUUAGCCGUUUAUGACACAUGUGUAAUACUUUGACAUCAAUUUAGAAACUGGCAUUUCUAGAGCCUUGCCAUAUUGCCAGGAUAUUUCCAUCUCAAUAAUAUAUUGAUUAUAUUAUAGUAAUGAGUUGGCCAAUGACUCACAGAGUUAUGAAGAGAUUAUACUAAAUUUAUCUGAGAUAAGUCAUGAUGAAAACUUCAGAAUUAUUACAUGCAUGUUUCAUAUCCUUGUCAUGUUAAUACUCACCUAUUUUGUGACUUGAUAUCAGCCCCUGCUUUUUAAUGUGAAUCAGAAGCUGUAAUUAUUUGAUGUUUUAUAGGACUUAACACAUUUUUAUGGGUGUUUGGCUUAUAGUAAAAAUCCUCUCUAGUUACAAAAAACUGCAAGAAAACCUAGAAAAGUGAAAUUUUGAUUUUUGGUUACUUUCUGGAAAAUGUUUAUGGGUAAUCAAUUUUUUAAACUACAUGGGUAAUUUUGUGAGUUAUCUUUCAGUUAUUAAUAUGUUGACUGAUCACAGACCAGUGAGGGGUAGCUCUGUAAAUGACUGUAAAUCUACCAAUUUUUUAUUAAAUCAGGAGGCAAAGGAUAGCGUAGUUUGUCCCAAGAUAUCACUGUGUAGAGCUCUGAGUUCAGAAUAUACAUACCUCCCACCCCAAAUGCUUAAGAUGUAUUUCCAUGAUCGUGAGUCCCUUUUCUGCAUGUUUAGAUUCUUCUGCAUGAUCUCUUCAACUUCCCUAAAUGGUUAGUAUGCCACAGAGGUUGAUUCCUUUUUAUCUAUGCUUUUUGUUUUUGCUGCCUUGUAUUUAUAAAACCUCCUCAACUGUGCUACACAUGGAAUAUUUGCCAAUUGAGAGAGUGUAGCAAAUGGAUGAUGGCAGCUAACAGAGGUUACAUGCCACACCUUCAGCACUCAUAGAAAGUGGGCACAUUGCAUCUCUGGGCGAUCACAAGCUGGUGCAAUAUCUUGUAAAAUACUGUUUGCCAAGUCACGCCAGCUGGAUAGAUAAUGGGAAUCACCGUGUUAUAUAGUAGUUCCAGUUCCAGACUGAUCUUGAUGCUAUGGUUGGUUAAAUAUUAUUGAUGAGCUAAUUAUGCUCCUAAAACAAACCAACAGUAUUCUUUAAAAAGGACUCUCCAAAAAUAAACAGAAAUACAGACAACAGUCUUGUCGUAAAGGCUAAUGUCUUUUUUUCUCUUUGCCAAAUUUGUUUUAUGUAUUGUGCAUAUAUAUCAAAAGAACUGCUUUAGAUCAGGUGUUUAAUGUAUUUUGAGGAAGAUAUUAAAUUGCUGAGAAUACUUCAUUCAUUACAAAAUAAAUAUACAUUGUGGAUGAAUUUAAAAGCUAGACUUUUAAUAAGUUGGUGAGGUGACAAGUAUGUUAACUAGCCUGAUUAAAUCUUUCUACAAUAUAUACAUCGACCAAGACAUGAUGUCAUACUGCAUAAAUAUACAUAAUUUUUAUUUGUCAACUAAAAUUUUUUAAAAAGCAGACUUUUAUAAGUAAGCUAUCGAUAAGCUAAACACUGGAAAAGAUGACAUGUAGAAUAAUUAGAAUUUGAAUGUGAGGCUGUUUAAAUAAACAUAGACAGAUCUGGACUCAGAAAUCUAUGUUCAUAUAGCACUACAUGCUGUUUAGUUGAUGACUUCAUUGCACUAUAUACUUACCACUAACUCCAGUGGGUAGCUAUUUUGCACUGUUAAGGUACUUGUUUCUUUGUUGUGGGGGGUUUGUUUUUUUACUUCUAAGUGACCAACACUCAUUUAAAAAACCUCUCUCACUCUAUUAUUCUAACUCAAAGUUGCCAGCCACAUUGUGUGCUGUAGUAUUAACACAGCAUCACUUUAGUAUUUGACAUAAUGCUUUGUGGCAGCUAAAAUUUAAAAAGGAUCACAUUUAUUCUAAUAUCAUUAUAGUUAUUGUGAUGUACCCAAGCAGAUCACUCUAGUUUUGCUAAAGCUGAGCUUGCUGUCCAUCAGAAUUACCUUCUUGCACAUCUUUUUCUAUAUAAUAAAAAACAUAAAUCUUGUAAUAUUAAUUCUUGUUUUUUAUUUAGAUACUUCAUUGAUGUAAAAAUGUUUAAAUAUCUUUUGGUCCUUGGAAGAGUGGGCAUCAAUGCUUCUGUAACCAUUAGUAGGUUACGAUCGAGAAUUUAAGUUAACUUUUCUAUUAAAUCCUACUUACCCAUGUUCUAAGGAUAAUCAUUUUUAAUCAUAGAAGUCCUCAGCAAUUAGAAGAGAAUAAAGAAUUUUAUUGUCACUAGGGAAAUAGAGGCUAACAUCUUGACGUAUAUUAAGUUUCAUUUCUUUGGGAGUUUGUUUGGCAGAUUAUGACUUGUGAACUCUUUGUCAUCUCUUUGGAAGAAAGCCACAAGAGCAACUGAAGACGUAGAAUUUGUAAAAAGAAAUUGUUUUAUUCAGCUUUGCUGUGACUGAAAGUUUGAUUAUAGACUGUGCCAUUUCAUCUUAUCUUUAAUCUACAGAUUUUUAAAUGGUUUCCUUUCUAAUCCACAAAUAUAAAAAUUAGAGGUUUAUUCAGACAAUAUGUAUGAAGUCAAAUACGUAUUUCUUAUUUAUAUGUAAGAUGUAAAGGAUAGAAAUGCAUUCUUAUUUAUUGGUUUCUGGAAGCUGAAGUAAGCCUGGGCAACAUAGGAAGACCCUGUCUCAACAAAUACAAAAUGCAAAUAUUAGCUGGGCAUGGUGGCAUGCGCCUGUAGUCCCAGCUACUCAGGAGGAUGAGCCAGGAGGAUCACUUGAGCCUGAGAGGUUGAAGGCUGCAGUGAGUUGUAAUUGGGCCACUGCACACCAGCCUGGGCGACUGAGUGAGACCCUUUCUUAAACAAAACAAAACGCUGAAGUAGUGUUUGUUUAGUUGUUAUUAGUUAUGUAGAUUUUUAAGAAAUGCACUCCAUAUUUUGGGGGGCCAACUUUUUUUCAGUUGAGAAAAUAUAAAUGAGUAAAAGGAGUUAUCAAAUUAAUACUUACAGCAGGAUGAAUAUCUUUCCUUUAUAUAAUAAGAAUUUAUAGUGUAUAUAUAUAUAUAUAUAUAUUCCUUUUUUUCUUAAUUAUGCUAAGAAAUUCUUCCUGAAAUCUAUACUAAAUGUCUUUUUUCUUUUUUUUCUUUUGAGAUGGAGUCUCACUCUGUCACCCAGGCUGGAGUGCAGUGGCACGAUCUCUGCUCACUGCAAGCUCCGCCUCCCGGGUUCACGCCAUUCUCCCACCUCAGCCUCCCGAGUAGCUGGGACUACAGGCGCCCGCCACCACGCCCGGCUAAUUUUUUGUAUUUUUUAGUAGAGACGGGGUUUCACCGUGUUAGCCAGGAUGGUCUCAAUCUCCUGACCUCGUGAUCUGCCCGCCUCAGCCUCCCAAAGUGCUGGGAUUACAGGCGUGAGCCACUGCGCCUGGCCUACUACAUCUCUUAUAAGUUUUACCUAUUUAAAACUUUGCUUUAACUGGACAGAGAGGGGGAAAAUGUGUUUUAUUACCAUGUAAUAUACUUUCAUGAUUUCUUAUGAAGAGAUGGAAUUCAAUUCAAAUCAGGCUUUCAUUCCUAUCUCAACUCCUAAAGCCUUUAUCCAGCUCACCACUCACUGUCCUGCAUGUGGCAAAUUGAAUAUUUUAUCUUAUUUGAGCUUCUACCAGGGUCCAACAAAGUUGACCACUGUCUCCUUCUUCAAAUAGUUUCUUCUCUUAGUUUGGGUGAUCACAGUCUCCUGGUUUUCUUCUUGGUAUCCUUUACUGGUUCUUCUUCAGUUUGAACUUUAUGUUAUAGGGGCUCCCAGGGCUUGACCCUUCUUUUUUAAUCUACAUGCUCUCCCUAGGUGCUUUCCUUUAGCCCCAUGGUGUCUUUAAAUACUAUUUGUUUGGGUCCCAAUGUGAGACAGUCUUUGUCAUUCAUGGGUUGGAAGAUGACUUUUCUGCUAAUGUGAACCACUAUAGACACCCAGUCAUUCUCCAUUCUAUUAUACCAAUUUAAGUAUCCAGGUAGCUCAUAUCCCUAUCAGAUAUUUUUCUUGUUUGUUACUUGUGGAGGGUUUUUUGGGGGGGGGGGUUGGAGGUAGGGGUGUUCUCUUUCCUUGAACUCUGUGAGACAUUGAAUAAAACAGGUGUUGAGUGAA